GCAACAACUGCAGGUCCUUCUCGGGGGUCGACGUCUGCGACGACGCACACCCCCAGUGCCCCAAGGGCUGCUCGGCCUGCCGCGUGGUGACGCCGAGCCCUCACAAGACGUUCCGGUGCGCCGACAUGAAGAGCACCGUCGACGGCACCUGCGGCGGGCCAUGCAAGAAGCACUGAUCCGUUCAGGGCUUCAGGCUCAGACGUGGUGUGCCGUCUAAAAUAAAGCUCAGAUGAUGAGCCAGCUUGUCACAGUGUUUGUGCGUGCCUGUGGCUCCACCUUGCAUACCGACAAUACAUACGCUGUUGUCGGUCGUCGUUGUUUCAUCACCGUCAUUGUUCUUCGUUUUAAUUUCUUCUUCAAGAGUUGUCUGUUGUUGCUCGCCUUUCAGGUGCCUGUUGUAUCAUCCGCGAAUAAAAACGUGUGUUGGUUGUGUGUCUCAGCUUAAAAUGCCUUUGGUCAUGUCACGCCAUUUUCUUAGGGACAUGGCUUUAAUAUCUUUCUACUUGUCUGCACUGUAGAGAACUCUUAUUGUCCUACUAUUCUCUCUCCCAAAAUUCGAAAUUUUUGGCUGCCAAAUUGUCUGUAACAUUCAGAGUGCUCAGACUAUUGGUAGAUCUACCCUCUUGGUCCCAAUGCAUACAUAUAUGUGCCAAAUAAUAAAUUUAUUGUGUCUACUUUAAGUCUAUAUAUAAGGAAAUGCGUAAAGAAAUACAGAACGUAAUUGUUCACGUGUGUCGCCCUUGAGAAGGUAUGAGAAUCAUCCCCACCACCCCUGCCCCUAGCCCCAGGUCUCUCGCUCGUUCCAUUGGCGGCAACAAUCCAUUGCAAACUCGAUGUCGGGAGGUAGGCUGGAUGCCGGCUGCUUAUAGAUCCAAAUGAGUAAGAGCAUCUACAGUCGGGCGUCUCAAACCUUUCUCAAACGCCCGGACGACCGUCGCAAACUGGCUUCAAACACUGACCGGCACCCUCAUAUCCAACCCAAAAAUGUGGCGGAUAUGGGGGCGUCUUGGCAUGCCCGGGACAGCCCGCCACAUCGGACCCGGCCGACGUUGGCCCACCCGAUCGCACAUACAUUCGUCCUCAUCCGCUCGCCGAAGCAAAUCCUAGCCACUUCACUCCACUCUCCAAUGGUCUUGCCGGAUUUACUGAGUCCGGCUGUAGAUGCUCUAAUAAGAGGCCAGGGUGCUCACCAAUGCAACUUACUCCUUUACUUUGGUAAAUAUCAUCAAUUAAAUAUAUCGUGUGAUGUAGACAUGUAGUUAAUAUGGAUGCAAGCCAUUUUCUUCUUGGAAGACAUUGCAACGAUCCGUGGAGUGUUUUUACCUUGCAUUUUACAUGUUACAGUGCCUAUUCUUUGCGGCAGAAAUUUACCAUGGCUCGAUGGUGUCUGCACUUGUUGCCAGCCACCUGUGCCUUCUAUAGCCGUAGUACGUACUCCGUACAAGUUUUGCAUGUGGUACUGGGCUCGUCAUCAUGGCUUGAUGCAAUCUCAAGCUCACGUGGAAGUAGUGGCCGCCUGGCCGGCCAUGCGACAUUUUCCCUUUCUUUAGCAAAGGCUAUGCGACAUUGACUGGCUCAGUGAUGCCGUUUCUAUCAUGCAAGGGGCAACUUCUUCUAUCACACAAGGGCCAAGUUCUGUGCGUACAAAUAGAACGUGAAAGCUGUGUGUUUACAACUGCAGUAAUUUGCGCCCGUGCAAUCUGCACUGCAGUACGCGACAGCAGGUCCUGAAGCUCCCACGCGAGUAGUAUGUUUUUUCUCGCUGGUGAACACUUUUACCAAUUGAAGACCGUGUUCUGGUUUAAGAAGAACAUGGAAGAUCGUUUGAUUUGCUGCAAAGGGAGUCGUAUGCCUAUUUUUCUUGUCGGUGACCUGGCUUUAGUAAGGUUUGUCCCUUUGUUAUCGCCCCAAAGAAAAAGACUGUAGCCCUUGGUGGUUUAGUUUAUAGAAGAAACACAUGAGCCACACAGUGCUAAGUCCAGGACUCGAACACUGGUGGGCAGCGAACACGCCCGUGCUGCUAAACACACGUGCGACACUUGGUUCUCCUAAUUUGAAUUUGAUACACAAAGUUACAAGCCAUGUGUAUCCUUUUAGCGCAUUAUUUCUCUACCAUGGCGUGCCUAUCUAUAUACCUUCACAGUCCAUAUUAAUCUUAUGAAAUGUGGCGGUGACGUGACGCGGAGACAAGUAAGGGGUGAGUAAAGUGGCGGUGGUAGAUAUGUGAAGAUAGUAGCCGUGUAGACCUGAUGUGUAUUGGAAAGGGAAUUGUUCAUGUCAAACGAAACCGAGGUAACUCUAUAAAGUGAUAAGGAACUUUUUUGAACAUUAGUAAGGCAGCUCUUUAUUCAUGUCACAGAGUCAUUGCAUACAAUGUCCUGGAUGCGACCAGGAGUAAUAUCACGGAUGAGAGAGUAAGAACAAAGCUCACUCCUCCUAGACUUCCUAAUCCCAAGCCAUAGAAGCAAAGUCAAAAUAUUUCAAAAAAGAAAAGGUAAACUUCUUAAUGUACAGACACGUAUUUCAUAUUUACCCUGUCACACCUAUUAGUUCAAUAGCAGUGAUCCGCCUCGUUUUUGUUGGCCACCUAUUAGAUCCAAAGAAGCAUAGGCUAGUUGUGAGAGAGUAUGUAGUAUAACGAGUCUAUUUAUGAGGUAAUUUUUUUAGUGAAUAAUGAAAAUGUGCUAGCUUUUGAAGUAAGAAAACUUUAUGAUUAUAUGUAGGUUAUUAAUGAAAUGUGUUUGUGGUACUUAGGUUGAGUGAGGUUUUCUUUUGUCUAAGUCGAUGAUGCUAGCGGUCCGAUGUAAUCUCAAUACACUUAUCCAUGCAUGACACGUAGGAAAGCUCAAUGUGUUGACUUAGACAUUAAAGAAUCUCAAAAAACUUAUAAUCAGAAACACGCUUAAACUUUACAUGUAUCCAUUUGGUCCAGGUAUGUCCUAUACUCAAGGAGGCGAGAGGUGGUGCAUGAGCUAUGUGCAGGAUACAUUUGAAGAUCGUGUUCCAAGUGUCUUCACCAAAUACAGAUGGAGAUGUUUUUGAAAGGUUAUAGAUGAAGACAUAACAAUUAGCUUGGCCUAGAUUUGGCCUACAAGUCGAAUGAUUGCCAAUUUGCAUGUCCAUUGAACAUGUGAAAAAAAAUAUGUGUGUAGUGGUGCACGUUGUGUGUCGAACUUUAUCAUCCCACUCACCCAGUUGAUGGCACGCGGGCAUGGUAGAUUGGAAAGUAAGGCGCCAAAUCUGCACCUAUAAAUAGAGGUGCUACUAACUCUGGCCAAUAACAGCAAUUACAACAUAGUAUUCCACUCACAACCUAAAGAGAUAAGUGAGAGACAUUUGCUCGAAAACCUUAAAAUCAACCAUGAAGAACACCAAGCUCGUGGCGAUCCUUGUCCUCCAGGCCAUCCUGGUCAUGGGAAUCCUCCCACACGUGAAUGGUUCGUAGUUGUUCAUGCUUCUUUAUUCUAUUUGUUUCCUUAAAAAAGUUUGAUUGCCUUUUUGCAAUUCCAUUGAUGUCUUAUAUACCUUAUAAGUGAUUACUAACAUGAUACCAUGCUAUGUGUGCGUGCAGCCAACUACUUCCCCAAGUGUUGUGACAAAUGCAGGUCAUUCUCGGGGGUCGAUGUAUGUGACGACGCCCAUCCUCAGUGCCCCAAGGGCUGCUCCACAUGCCGCGCGGUGCAGACAGGCCGUGUCAAGAUGUUCCGGUGUGCCGACAUGCGCUCCACCAUCAAUGCCACGUUGCAAAAAGAACUAACCAGUUCAACUCAGAUCACAAGACUUGUUCCGCCAAUAAGAGAAGCUCAUAUAAGAUGAGAAUUGUCACCGUAUUUAUGCGUACAUGUGGCCUCACAAUGCACGCUGACAAUGCAUCGAGUAAUAAGAAUGCCAGUGAUCCUCCCGGUUCCUCAGCCGUUUGGGAUUCCUGGCCGUCGGAUCGGCUGGCUUGAUCGGAUCUGGGCCGUCGGAUCGACCCCUAGAGCGACCGCGUCCGUCGGAUCAAAAAAAGUUACUGCUGGAAUGAAUAGUUACUACCGUUUCGCGCCACCGCGCGUAAUUAGUCUGCCCCAUCGGGGGCAUUUUCGUCAUUUCGCCUGCAGGUGUAUAAAACUUGACCACCCGCGUGGAGAUGACCUAGCCCGCACUCGCGCCCCCUCCCUCGUCCUCGCCGCCCCGCCCGCAUCGCCCCGCCCUCUCCCCUCCUUCUCCCGCCCGCAAUGCCGCCGCCCCGCCCGCAUCGCCGCCGCCCUUUCCUCUCCCUCUCCCUCCCUCAGUCCUCGCCGCCCCGCCUGCGUUCUUCCCCAUCUGCUGCUACCUGCGUUCUUCCCCAUCCGCCGCCGCCGCCCCCAGCCUCCGCCCCCAGCUGCACCUAGUCAUCGCUCCUCCCGCACAGCCGCACUCGCACCGCCCCCUUCCCCUUCCUCUCGCCUCACCUCUCUUUCCUUCCAAAUCUCCUCCCGGCCUCGCCUCUUCCUUCCUUCUCCUCCGGCGCCUCCUCCCCGUUGGCUCCUUCUUGCCCCUCCUCCGCCGGUCCUCCUUCUCCUACGUCACCCGGAGGGGUGCAGCUGUCGCUUGCGUUGUAGCUCCCCCUAGGAGCUCGCGCGCCUGAUCCCGCGGCAGUAAGGGGCCGCGGCAGCCGCCGCACAGCCUGACGACCAGGAGCUCCCCGGCGUGGUUCCCUGGAUGGAGGGAUGCUUCCUCCAUCACUGCCUUCUCCGUGCCGACGCCAUCAGUAGCGGCGGCGGUCGGGCUGAUGCGAUGCGACUGCAAGCUCGUCGUGAGAGCAGCGGCAACGGUAAGCUCACCACUCCUUCGUGUUGCACCUGCUAGACCUCCAGGUGCAUCUCUCCCCCCUCCCCCUCUCCCUCCCUAGAGAAUCUGGACCUGGAGAUUUCAAACUGCUGAGCGUGGAAUAGAAAACCCUAGCAAUUUGGUGUGGUGUUCAUAGAGAGGCAGAUCCAGCUUUGCAUUUUUUUCUCAUGAUGUUGUGUUCUUCAAUUUUGCAUUGUGUGAAUAGGUUAGAAUUGAGGGGGUGGGUAGAACUAGAUGUGUCCUAGGUAUCUGCACAGUAGUUUUUGUUGCCUUCCUUAGCUUGUUGGGUACCUGUUUAUUUUCUGUUUAGGAGGACCGAUUUGUCAUGAGGUUGUAUCCUUUCUCAAGGAAUUUUUUGUUCCUAUCUGAUACUAGCAGACAAAUUGGUUGCAGGGUAGCCAGGGUAGGUCUUUCUGCAUAUGCAUUUGAAUAUGAGAUGUCUCAAGAUUGUUGGUCUACUUCUUUUGGUCUUAUACUGACUCUGUCUUUGGUCAGGACAACUUUGAACAACUUGUGUGUCCCUCUCAGAUUCCUACAGAAGAAAGGAUACAUUUUCUUUUCUAUUGGAUGGACAACAAAAUAACCACAACAAUAGGUCUAUCAGGUAAUUGGCCAUGUGUCUUUAUCCAUCUGUAGUUAGAACUUAUAUGUCAGAUUGUGCAAACCACCUCGAUUGUCAUCUAAAUAUUAUCACGAUCUUUCUUUUUUUGUUUAGCCUAGCAAAGGUCAAAUUGCUUCUUCUUUUCAAAAAGUAAUUUCUGAUGUUUGGAGUUUGUGCCUCCAGGAUCUUGGGCUUCUACUAAUCUUUUUUGAACUUUGUUAAUUUUGUCAGAAGAAGCAGGAGCGAAGCAAAGGCAGGAUUCCAUGGUGAGUUUGGAGUUUACCCUCUGUUGAAAUUGGCUCUCAUGCGAGCCGCGACCUUUUCUUAGCCAUGGUGAGUUUGAGGCUUACCCUCUGUUCUUGCUAGCCAAAAUUGGUUUCUCACUGAAUAAUGUUCAUCACACUAUACUCAAGAAUACAAAGGAAGCUACCCAAAUGUGAUAGAUCCUACUCUUCGGCAGCUUAAAUUUAAAGAUGUAGUAGCUGAACAAGACUAGGAUCAUGUUUAUGAUGCAUUUUCCAUCGAUACAGAGGUAUGAAUCAUUGAAUCCUAUGAUUGACAUUGUAAAAACUCUCAGUGAGCAGCCUACCUCCUGAAUUAAUAGUGAGAAGCCAUAUAUUUUCCUUUUAGGUGUAAAAAAUAGUAAAAGAUGAGGUAGCCAUCUCCUACUAAAUUAAUAGUGAGAAGCCUACCAGCUGAAUUUUAUUCUUAGAUGAUAUGAAGGAUUAUCGAUAUUUACUAUUUAGGAUGUAUACAUAUAUGUUACUGGUCUUAUGAUAUUGUUAGCAAAAGUUUUAGUGCUCUUUAUGGUCGACAGUGGCGUGCCGCUCCAAGACACUCUGCUUUCCAUCAACGCCGACAACCACAGCAGGGGUGGAUCCAGCCGACAAGAGGCAGAGCGGCGGUCAACGGUGGUGGCCUGCUCCCAAGCUGCAGGUGAGAAGGUGACGCAACAGUGGUUGGUUUGCAUAAAUAUUCGUCAAUGCAUUCUGAGAAUAUUUUGUGAGGUAUCCUGAUUGGCAUAUGCCGCUUCCAGCAUUUGGGCAUCGUGGUUGUAGCUCACAGUCAGGUAGAAAAUCAGUUAUGUAGCUAUGCCAAAUUAUUUCCUUCAAUAUUGUAAAAAUUUGUGUCCAUUGCAGGAAGCAAAAAACCUUUGAUGGUAUAUGACUUAAUAAUCCACAUGGAUUCUUAUACAUAGGCUGUUUAAUUACUACGUCCACCAUUUCUUUUCAGCUAAAGUCUUUGUCAUACUGUGUAUGGUGUCAAUGCAAACUACCAGAGUCAGAUGAGGCUCACAAUAAGCAGCAAUAUUAGUGCCACUCCUAUCCAGUGUUGAUAACUUGAUAUUUAGCCUGUUUACCUGGCACCAUCAGGUCCAAGGCAUUAGUAUGCUCUUACUUAUUGUACAUGUCAAUAAUUAGAGAACUAGAUUAGCUAACCUUAGCCGUGCAUCGCUCCCAUGUUUACUCUUCUUUGGUGCUGCUAUUACUCACACAAUUUGGAUCGGGAAUACAACACUGUUUAACAUUCAGUUUUGUUUUCUCAGUGCUUUGGAGAAGAUGGACAUGAGGCCCCAAUGGUGGUGGCCUCGCUUUGUUAUCCAUGAUUUCCCUCAUUUGAUUGAUUUGACACAUGUUCAUUCACUAGAUUAUAGUCUACUUCGUGUAUUUAGUUCUAGGUUGUUUUGAUCUAAGUGGUACUUGAUUUCUUGGCAUUGUUCAUUGCCUCGAGCCAUGUCUGAUACUGAAUUUGACCAUGAUCCUCUUGCAGUAAAUAUGACUUAUUUGCUCUCUAUUGGAAUAUUUCUUUCCACAUAUUGCUAGCUCCUUAGGUGUAAUGUUGUUUAAAAUAUUUGUCCUGGAGCUCCUUUGCUCCUGUUCUUGGUGUAGAUAAACCAAAACUGCUCCUUUUAGGCCAUCCAAGAGUCUUAAACGACCAACAUUGUAAUUAGCAUAUGUGGACAGUGUAAGGUAGCCUAUGUCAAUAUCUGAAAGUUUUUUGUGUUUGUUUAUCCUCCUUAAAUCAAUAUGUUCUUUUGAUUUGUAGGACUGUUAGUAAGGUUGAUCAUCGGCAAGCGAAAGUGCUUCGUGGAUGCUUGCACGACCAAGGUGAUUGCAUAUGGACGAGCUGGUGACGAAUCAGUUUCACUUUUGUAUUUCCUUUUGCAUUGGCUUAUUUGAUUUCAAUGUUAUGGGUUCAGUGUUCAUCUUGGAAAAGAUCUACAUCAUAAUUUGGUGUCUCCAUUUAGGGCUAAAUAGUAAAAAAUAUUGUUGUUUCUUGUAACGAUAAACAACUUAUAGUUGUUUUGGUAGCAUAAUUAGGUAAUGAUAUUGUUAAAAGUUUAACUGAUUUAUGAGAAUAAUUCCAUUAUUUAGUCUCACGGUCAUGUUCUUCCUUCAGCGGCUUGGGAGGGAGGAGUGCAUGUUUUCGAGGUAAAAUGCAUGAUGAAUUUAUCUGUAGGGUGUUUUGGCCAUAUGUCAGAGGAGAUCAUUGGAUUUUCCUAUCCUUAUGUUUUACUCCUGAAAAUAGCUUCUAACGAUAUUGUUCUGCAAGCCCUUAAAGCUCCUAGAGUGCAAACACCAUGAGAUAGGGAUGUGAAACUGAAGGAAAGAAGGCCCUGACCACUCUCAUCAUUUACUCAAGUAAUAACACCAUCGGCGACAGGAACGACAAGCUGACACAGGUGAGCUUAGUGUCUCUUAUGAUGUCGUUUUAUGUCUUGGCCUCAAGUUCACAACCAGUUCUUUGUUUGGUGAGAUGUAUGUGUUCUUUCAUGGUUAUUCUCAUUAGGUGGCUGCACUUUUUUUUUCUCAAUUUGUGUUCUGAAUUUAAGGUUGCAGAUGCGUGCCUCGAUUGUUUAUAUAAAUGUGUAAGUAGAAAAAUCUCAUGGGCAACAGCCUGGGAUAGAUAAGAGAGAUACGAAUCAUACGAUGGUCUUUCAGAAGAGAUGCUGCUAUGAAGACCUUUGUAUGUCCCUUGCGGCCAUGCCGACAACUUACUAGAUGUUUUUCUUCCAACGUGGAUCUUCUUUUCUUAAGAACAAACUUUUAUUGUAGAUAUUUUCGAAAGCAUGGCAUAUGAAGUAGAACUGGAUUUUACAUAGUUAUAUCUACGUGCUUGUCCAAGUAUAGACUUCAAUAUAUAGCUUGUGAAAAUUUAAAAUUCGUUUGGUUUAGUGAAUUUCCUUUGUCCAAGUAUGAUUCCUUUUAUACUUCCAUUUUUUUUAGUUGCCACCAUUUUGUAUUUUGUAUUAAAUUGAAAUUUUGAAAUAAGCUGACGACGAUCCUCGGCAGCACAAGUGUAUGGAUAAUUCAGUUUCUUUAGUGAACUCAGUUAAACCUUGCAAUUUUAAGUAUGUGCCGAGUCGUGCAUAGCUUUCUGUUUUGUGUAAGUGGAAAGUAUUAGUAGUUUCACUUUGUCCAAUUUUUUCAGGGACAACUUUUGAGAGUUGGUCCAAACUUAAUGCAUUCAUGGGAUCACCAAUUUUUGGUGCUGGUUGAGAUUGGGUAGGUUGUACCAUGAGUUCCUGGAUGAUUGUUGCAAUUCUCAUGCUUGCUUGCAAGGAUGUUGCAUGAAUUGGAGAGAUUGGGACUGAAUACUGACCUCGAAUAUAUAUAUAUUGAUGCUCCUAUCUUCUCAUUGCAUUUGUCUCUGCAUUAAAUUAGUCAAAUUAAAUUUUUAGUACCAAUUCUACGAUGUAUUCCCCUCAUGGAAUUUUGAUUCCUCUUUCUAUUAGAGUUUUAUGUCUUAUUUAUAUACUAGAUUUAUUUCUUCUCCUAUGACAUGCAGUUCUACAGUUGCGUUUCGGUAUGCAUCUACGCCCCACCAGUAUACUUGGUCUUUCAGUUAUGCCAUCCAGUUUCCUCCCUUUUUGCCUGGUUAUGGCCGUGGUUAGCUUAGGAAGAGAGAGCAGCACAAAUGAAUUGCAUUGAUAAGUUCACAUGUAGCAAAAUCCGGAUUGAAGUGAUCCUCCAAUUUCAAGAAUAGCAUACUGAAUAUGGAUCUAUUAAAUAAUACUGAAUGUCAUGAUGGCCUUCCCAGGAGAUGUAGUUCUGAAUAUCCUACUGCUCUAUGGAUCCAUUAUUGCAAGAACUGUAUAACAAUAUGCACCGAGCUGCUUCAUACCAUCAUUUAGCGUCUCUGUAUUCUAUCUGAUUAGCUUUCCUUAGUGCCAUCUGAUGAGAGGCAUUCUUGUUGCCCUGUACACAUCUUGUGCUCCUAUGAUGGGGCAGAUGAUGUUAUUUAAUUAAUUAUUGGAAGAAAAUGAUAAUCCAUUGGGCUCCCUUCCUUCCUCAUGUCUUUUUUUGCAUGUAUAGUACUUCACUGCUUCCUGCAUGUGAUUCCAUUUGAUUUCACUUUGAUUUUGUUUUCUGCAGAUCGUUUCUUGGUGGCUGCUAAUGAAUCAUGUAAGGAUGGCGCAGAAUUCACCAGAGGAAAAAGACCGAACUACGGGGUUUCCCCAUUGUUAGAGCUCUUGGUGCCCGGACAAGCCCUCUAUAUCCAUUCUCCCUUCGCAGCUCAGCUCCACUGACCAGGUCAGUCCUCACUAAUGGACGGUUACAUAGUUUUUUUUCCUUUUGAACUCUAAAUGUGUGCCCGCCUCUAAGUAAUUUCUUGGAUCCACAUGUUCUGUUCAGAUGGAGAUGGCUGACGAAGAGCUCGAUGUCCAUGACUCGUCAGGUUCCGCUGGCUCCACUAACAACCGUCUACGGGCGCUUGCACAGGUCAGGUGAAACCCGUCCUAUCCCCUCUCUGAUUUUACUGGACGGUUGCAAAAAUAUGAUGAGUGUGUGACUCGGGAAUUUUUAUAAUUAAAAGAAGUACUCACAGAUGUAAACAUUGCUAACUCUGCAAAGAAACACGCAUCUGAUCUAGGGAUUAUUGAUGCUCGCAGAUAGUAGUAAAGAAAUGGUGAUAUUUAGAUCCAGGCAGUGUGAUGAUUUUAACUCUAUUUCUUUGACGUGCUCUUCGUGUAGUUAAUAGCUCUGUAGGUGUUUCCUCGAUUGAUUAGAUGUUGUCUAGGCCUUCUAUGUAGAUGUAUUUUGUUUACAAAGCGCAAGCAUUCUACGUGAUAAUUAGAUUUCUGUCUUUGAAGGUGAUCAUAUUGAUCUUACCUUAUCGACUACUCUUACUAAAACAAGUUGUAUUUUCAACUGACUAAUAGCCCCGUUGUUCUUAAAAAUGCUCAUCACAUGCUCAAGACAAUCUGAUUAACCGAUAGACUUAACGUAUCUCUUUUUAACACUAUGUCUGCUUUUAUCCGCGACUGAUUUCUCUGAUAUAUCUCCCGUACUGUGAUGCAAUUACUGUAAGCAGCUCCUCAUGGCCUUAUGUUUUAUGUUCUCGGGCGCUACAGGAUACCAAGCGAGUGUUUAGGAUCCCACACCGGGCAUUUCUUGACAUGCUCCUAGCACACCUUACACUAAUCACCGGCUCAGUAUGAUCGUGUUGUACAUGAUGACGGCAAGAUCUGUGUGACCAUCUUUUUCAACACCUCUACAUUGGAUCUUGGAGGACCAAUCAGUAUGAACGCGUCGUGUCGUCAUUCCUCCUGGUCUACAUUAUGCCCAAGACAUGCAAAGUUGUGGAUUGUAUGUAAGCUACCAUGUGCUUUUGUACAUCCUAUGCCUGUGAUAUUUGCUACUAAACCUAUUGUGCUACGUGCUUUCUAUGUUUAUACAUUGUUAGGUGGCUCCUUAUUGUGUGCAUACAAACAAACCUUACUUCUGAAUGAUUCUUUGUUAGUUUUUUAUUUUUAUCAUGGUUGACAUAAUAAUGAGUGCAAAAAUUACUUUGCUUAAAUCUGGUUGCUUGGCUGACAAAGAUAUGCUUUCUAUGCUUGUGAUGCUUUCUAUGCUAUGGAUUUUACGUAUUGGAUUAGGGCCAAUGCUUACUUAGGCCAUUUUAAUUUUGAUAAGCCUAUUGUUAAAGUUCAAGAUACUAUGGUUGAUGGCUGAGUACAACUGUACAUAGAUUGUCCUUGGAUUUUCCUUUACGGUAUAUACUGAGUGGAUUGUAAAUACGGUUACCUUGGCCAUUAUUCUUUGUAUGAUGUAUACAGUGUGAAUGCAUAUGCUAAACCUGGUGUUUGGACCGGCACCCUCGCGCCAGGGCGCGAUUCUGAUCUAGUGUACUAUUAUCGGUCGUCGUCGUCGUCGUUUACCUCUUCGAGACUAAGAUGUUGUUGUUCACCGAUCAGGUGCUCGUUCUAUCCUCCGUGAAUAAACACGUGUGUUAAUUGUGCAUCUCUGUUUAAAGAGCAUUUGUUCAUGUCACACGAAUUUUGUGAGCAAGUAGUGUCUAAACGUCGGUAUGCUUUUAUACAUAGUAAAUAACUCUUAUCGUCCUGCUCUUUUAACAUUUCUUUGCCAGAAUUUAAACUCUAUGUCUGCUAAACUGUUAUUAACAUUCGGAGUGCUCAGGCUAUAUGUGGCUCUAUCUUCAUAGUCUACACAUGUAUAUAAAACAAUAAUUUCAUUGGACCUACUUACGUCUAUACAAAUGAAAAUACGGAAGGAACACAACAUAGUUGUUCACGUGUACCACCCUUAAGAAGGUGCGAGAACCAUCUUUGUCGCUCCCCGAUCUCACUCUCAUACAUCCAAGAGCGGGUGUCCUCCUCAAUGGAUAACAAUGGCAACAAGAAGCUUGACGAGGUAUGUUGGUGGUGACCAUCCACUACAAAUCCGACGUUGAGAGGUAGGGUGUGGACAUCGAUGAUGUGCCUAUAAAUCGCUUUCCUUGGGUAGAUGUCAUCGCUUGAACAUAUUGUGUGAUCUUGUUAAUAUGGAUGCAACAUGUUCUUCUUGGAAAACCUUGGAAGUAUUACACAAAGUGCGAAGGGGAUUAAUAAAGCACGACAGAGGUAGCAGCGCAUCGAAACUCCUAUAUGGUGCACUAGGACUGCCCUAAUGCAAUAGUACCCUUUUGGAAGUAACUUUCUAAUCAAUUUGAUUAAUUGCAAAUUGAGUUGUUUAAGUAAUACUCCUUGUUUUUUUUAGAAAAGGAGGAUGACCCUCGGCCUCUGCAUCCGGACGAUGCAUGCGGCCACUUUAUUAAUUAUUCUCGCAAGACCUUACAAAGUCAUACAACAGCAAGACUAAAGCCACCGUGUAAGCAACAACUAUCGCUACACCUAUCCAAUUGAUGAAUGGGCGCUGAUAGCCUGGGCCUAAUACCAAACAGACGUCGUAGCCAAAUCUAAAAAUCUAAGACUUGAGGGCCCAACCAGGACGCCUACCUGGUAUGGGGCACCUACCAGUCCGGCGCACUCCUCAACCAGGACGCCUGCCGGGUAUAUGUUGGGGAUCGUUGCAGAAAAUAAAUAAAAAUUACGCAUCACCAAGAUCAAUCUAUGGAGUCAUCUAGCAACGAGAGAGAGAUGCAUCUACAUACUCUUGUAGAUCGCGACCGGAAGUGUUCAAGAGAACGGGGUUGAAGGAGUCGUACUCAUCGUGAUCCAAAUAACCGAUGAUCCUAGCGCCAAACGGACGGCACCUCCACGUUCAACACAUGUAAGGAGCGGAGACGUCUCCCAUGCCUUGAUCUAGCAAGGAGGAGGGAGAGGUUCAGGAAGAGAUCUCCAGCAGCAGCACGACCGCGUGGUGGUGAUGGAGAGGCAGUACUCCGGCAGGGCUUCGCCAAGCUUCUUCGGAGGAGGAGAGGUGUUGGGGAGGGGAGGGGUUGCGCUUUGGAGGUGUGUGUGCAACCCUCCCCUCGCCCCUCUAUUUCUAGGGGGAGGAUGAAGGGGGCCGGCCCCCUCUAGAUGAGAUCUAGAGGGGGGCGGCCAAGGGGGGGACUUGCCCCCAAGCAAGGGGGGGCGCCCCCUUGAGGGUUUCCCCCCAACCCUAGACACAUGGGCCCAAGGGGGGGUUGCGCCCAGCCCUCUAAGGGCUGGUUCCCUUCCCUCUACGGCCCAUGAGGCCCUCCGGGAGAGGUGGCCCCUCCCGGUGGACCCCUGGAACCCUUCCGGUGGCCCCGGUACAAUACCAGCAUGCCCCCGAACCUUUCCGAUGACCAUAUUACAACUUCCCAUAUAUAAAUCUUCACCUCCGGACCAUUCCAGAACUCCUUGUGACUUCCGGGAUCUCAUCCGGGACUCCGAACAACAUUCGGUUAUCACAUACAAGUCUUCCUAAUAACCCUAGCAUCACUGAACCUUAAGUGUGUAGACCCUAUGGGUUCGGGAAUCACGCAGACAUGACCGAGACAACUCUCCGGCAAAUAACCAACAGCGGGAUCUGGAUACUCAUGUUGGCUCCCACAUGUUCCAUGAUGAUCUCAUCGGAGGAACCACGAUGUCGAGGAUUCAAGCAAUCCCGUAUACAAUUCCCUUUGUCACACGGUACGUUACUUGGCCGAGAUUCGAUCGUCGGUAUCCCAAUACCUCGUUCAAUCUCGUUUCCGGCAAGUCACUUUACUUGUUCCGUAAUGCAUGAUCCCGUGACCAACCACUUGGUCACAUUGAGCUCAUUAUGAUGAUGCAUUACCGAGUGGGCCCAGAGAUACCUCUCCGUCAUACGGAGUGACAAAUCCCAGUCUCGAUCCCUGUCAACCCAACAGACACUUUCGGAGAUACCUGUAGUAUACCUUUAUAGCCACCCAGUUACGUUGUGACGUUUGGCACACCCAAAGCACUCCUACGGUAUCCAGGAGUUACACGAUCUCAUGGUCUAAGGAAAUGAUACUUGACAUUAGAAAAGCUCUAGCAAACGAACUACACGAUCUUGUGCUAUGCUUAGGAUUGGGUCUUGUCCAUCACAUCAUUAUCCUAAUGAUGUGAUCCCGUUAUCAAUGACAUCCAAUGUCUAUAGUCAGGAAACCAUGACUAUCUGUUGAUCAAUGAGCUAGUCAACUAGAGGCUCACUAGGGACAUGUUGUGGUCUAUGUAUUCACACAUGUAUUACGAUUUCCGGAUAACACAAUUAUAGCAUGAACAAUAGACAAUUAUCAUGAACAAGGAAAUAUAAUAAUAACCAUUUUAUUAUUGCCUCUAGGGCAUAUUUCCAACAGUCUCCCAUUUGCACUAGAGUGAAUAAUCUAGUUACAUUGUGAUGAAUCGAACACCCAUAGAGUUCUGGUGUUGAUCAUGUUUUGCUCGCGGAAGAGGUUUAGUCAAAGGAUCUGCGACAUUCAGAUCCGUAUGCACUUUGCAAAUAUCUAUGUCUCCAUCUUGAACAUUUUCACGAAUGGAGUUGAAGCGAUGCUUGAUGUGCCUGGUCUUCUUGUGAAACCUAGGCUCCUUGGCAAGGGCAAUGGCUCCAGUGUUGUCACAGAAGAGAGUCAUCGGCCCCGACGCAUUGGGAAUAACUCCUAGGUCGGUAAUGAACUCCUUCAUCCAGAUUGCUUCAUGUGCUGCCUCCGAGGCUGCCAUGUAUUCCAUUCAAAAUAUACAUGUAUCCGGUUUGUGACUUAGAGUCAUCCAGAUCUGUGUCGAAGCUAGCGUCGACGUAACCCUUUACAACGAGCUCUUCGUCACCUCCAUAAACGAGAAACAUAUCCUUAGUCCUUUUUAGGUACUUCAGGAUAUUCUUGACCGCUGUCCAGUGUUCCAUGCCGGGAUUACUUUGGUACCUUCCUACCAAACUUAUGGCAAGGUUUACAUCAGGUCUGGUACACAGCAUGGCAUACAUAAUAGACCCUAUAGCCGAGGCAUAGGGGAUGACACUCAUCUUUUCUCUAUCUUCUGUCGUGGUCGGGCAUUGAGCCGAGCUCAAUUUCACACCUUGCAACACAGGUAAGAACCCCUUCUUGGACUGAUCCAUAUUGAACUUCUUCAAUAUUUUAUCAAGGUAUGUGCUUUGUGAAAGACCUAUGAGGUGUCUCGAUCUAUCUCUAUAGAUCUUGAUGCCUAAUAUAUAAGCAGCUUCUUCAAGGUCCUUCAUUGAAAAACACUUAUUCAAGUAGGCCUUAAUGUUGUCCAAAAGUUCUAUAUCAUUUCCCAUCAAAAGUAUGUCACCUACAUAUAAUAUGAGAAAUGCUACAGAGCUCCCACUCACUUUCUGGGAAAUGCGGGCUUCUCCUUAAGUCUGCAUAAACCCAAACACUUUGAUCACUUCAUCAAAGCGAAUGUUCCAACUCUGAGAUGCUUGCAGCAGCCCAUAGAUGGAGCACUGGAGCUUGCAUACCUUGUUAGCAUUCUUAGAAAUGUUAGCAUUCUUAGGAAGUCGUUAAGGAAUGUCGUUUUGACAUCCAUUUACCAUAUCUCAUAAUCGUAGAAUGCGGCAAUUGCUAACAUGAUUCGGACGGACUUCAGCUUCGCUAUGGGUGAGAAGGUCUCAUUGUAGUCAACCCCUUGAACUUGUCGAUAACCCUUAGCGACAAGUCGAGAUUUAUAGAUGGUAACAUUACCAUCCGCAUCCGUCUUCUUCUUCAAGAUCCAUUUGUUUUCUAUCGCUUGCAGAUAAUCAGGAAAGUCUGUCAAAGUCCAUACUUUGUUUUCAUACAUGGAUCCUAUCUCGGAUUGCAUGGCUUCUAGCCAUUUGUUGGAAUCUGGGCCCGCCAUCGCUUCUUCAUAUUUCGAAGGUUCACCGUUGUCUAACAAUAUGAUUUUCAAGACAGGGUUGCCAUACCAUUCUAGUGUGGAACGUGUCCUUGUGGACCUAUGAAGUUCAGUAGUAACUUGAUCCGAUCCUCUCUAGUCGGUGCAGGCACCACAGGAACAUCUUCCUGAGCUGCGCUACUUUCCGGUUUAAGAGGCAGUACUUCAUCGAGUUCUACUUUCCUCCCACUUAUUUCUUUCGAGAGAAACUCUUUCUCCAGAAAGGACCCGUUCUUGGCAACAAAGAUCUUGCCUUCGGAUCUUAGGUAGAAGGUAUACCCAAUGGUUUCCUUAGGGUAUCCUAUGAAGACGCAUUUUUCCAACUUGGGUUUGAGCUUUUGAGGUUGAAGUUUCUUGACAUAAGCAUCGCAUCCCCGAACUUUUAGAAACGACAGCUUAGGUUUCUUUCCAAACCAUAAUUCAUACGGUGUCGUCUCAACGGAUUUAGAUGGUGCCCUAUUUAAAGUGAAUGUAGCUGUCUCUAAAGCGUAUCCCCAAAAUGAUAGCGGUAAAUCGGUUAGAGACAUCAUAGACCGCACCAUAUCCAAUAGAGUGCGAUUACGAUGUUCAGACACACCAUUACGCUGAGGUGUUCCAGGCGGCAUGAGUUGUGAAACAAUUCCACAUUUCCUUAAGUGUGUCCCAAACUCGUGACUUAAAUAUUCUCCCCCACGAUCUGAUUGUAAGAACUUUAUUUUUCUGUCACAUUGAUUUUCUACCUCAUUCUGAAAUUCCUUGAACUUUUCAAAGGUCUCAGACUUGUGUUUCAUUAAAUAGACAUACCCAUAUCUACUUAAGUCAUCAGUGAGGGUGAGAACAUAAUGAUAGCCACCGCGAGCCUCAACGCUCAUUGGACCACACACAUCAGUAUGUAUAAUUUGUUUGAAAUAUGCCCUAGAGGCAAUAAUAAAAUGGUUAUUAUUAUAUUUCUUUGUUCAUGAUAAUUGUCUGUUAUUCAUGCUAUAUUUGUAUUAUCCAGAAAUCGUAAUACACGUGUGAAUACAUAGACCACAACAUGUCCCUAGUGAGCCUCUAGUUGACUAGCUCGUUGAUCAACAGAUAGUCAUGGUUUCCUGACUAUGGACAUUGGAUGUCAUUGAUAAUGGUAUCACAUCAUUAGGAGAAUGAUGUGAUGGACAAGACCCAAUCCUAAGCAUAGCUCAAAGAUCGUGUAGUUCAUUUAGCUAGAGCUUUUCCAAAUGUCAUGUAUCAUUUCCUUAGACCAUGAGAUUGUGCAACUCCCGGAUACCGUAGGAGUGCUUUGGGUGUGCCAAACGUCACAACGCAACUGGGUGACUAUAAAGGUGCACCACGGCUAUCUCCGAAAGUGUCUGUUGGGUUGGCACGAAUCGAGACUGGGAUUUGUCACUCCGCAUGACGGAGAGGUAUCUCUGGGCCCACUUGGUAAUGCAUCAUCAUAAUGAGCUCAAUGUGACCAAGUGUCUGGUCACGGGAUCAUGCAUUACGGUACGAGUAAAGUGACUUGCCGAUAAUGAGAUUAAACGAGGUAUUGGGAUACCAACGAUCGAGUCUCGGGCAAGUAACGUAACAAUUGACAAAGGGAAUUGUAUACAGGGUUGAUUGAAUCCUCAAUAUCGUGGUUCAUCCGAUGAGAUCAUCGAGGAGCAUGUGGGAGCCAACAUGGGUAUCCAGAUCCCGAUGUUGGUUAUUGACCGGAGAGGCGUCUCGGUCAUGUCUGCAUGUCUCUCGAACCCGUAGGGUCUACACACUUAAGGUUCGGUGACGCUAGGGUUGUAGAGAUAUGAGUAUGCAGUAAACUGAAAGUUGUUCGGAGUCCCGGAUGAGAUCCCGGACGUCAUGAGGAGUUCCGGAAUGGUCCGGAGGUAAAGAAUUAUAUAUAGGAAGUCAGGUUUCGGCCAUCGGGAAAAUUUCAGGGGUCACCGGUAUUGUACCAGGACCACCGGAAGGGUCCCGGGGGUCCACCGGGUGGGGCCACCUAUCCCGGAUGGCCCCAUGGGCUGAAGUGGGAGGGGAACCAGCCUCUGGUGGGCUAGUGCGCCCCGCCUUGGGCCCCGCCUGCGCCUAGGGUUGGAAACCCUAGGGGUGGGGGGUGCCUUCACUUGCCUUGGGGGGCAAGGCACCCCCCUUGGCCACCGCCCCCCCUAUGAGAUCCCAUCUCCUAGUGCCGGCGCCCCCCUAGGGGCCCUAUAUAAAGCGGGGGAGGGAGGGUAGCCGCAACCUUGUACUUGGCGCCUCCCUUCCCCCUUGCUACACCUCUCCCUCUUGCGGACGCUUGGCGAAGCCCUGCCGAGAUCACUGCUGCAUCCACCACCACGCCAUUGUGCUGCUGGAUCUUCAUCAACCUCUCCUUUCCCCUUGCUAGAUCAAGAAGGAGGAGACGUCUCACUAACCGUAUGUGUGUUGAACGCAGAGGUACCGUCCGUUCGGCGCUAGGAUCUCCGGUGAUUUGGAUCACGACGAGUACAACUCCCUCAACCCUGUUCUCUUGAACGCUUCCGCUCGAUCUACAAGGGUAUGUAGAUGCACUCCUCUCUCUCGUUUCUAGAUUAAAUCAUAGAUUGAUCUUGGUGAAACCGUAGGAAAUUUUUUAUUUUCUGCAACGUUCCCCAACAGUGGCAUCAUGAGCUAGGUCUAUGUGUAGUUCUCUUUGCACGAGUAGAACACAAAUCUGUUGUGGGCGUUGAUGUUGUCAACUUUCUUUCCAUUACUAGUCUUAUUUUGCUUCAGCAUUAUUGUGGGAUGAAGCGGCCCGGACCGACCUUACAUGUACGCUUACGUGAGACAGGUUCCAUCGACUGGCAUGCACUUGUCGCUUUAUUUAAGGAAAUAAAACGCUAUGUAAUUGCUUUACUUUAUCACUAAGUGGUAGCGAUAGUCGUAGAAGAAAUGGUUGGCGAGACGACCACGACGCUACGAUGGAGAUGAAGGUGUCAAGCCGGUGACGAUGGAGAUCAUGACGUUACUUUGGUGAUGGAGAUCAUGAUCACAAGAAGAUGUUGGAGAUCAUGAGUAAUUGUUGGCAAGCAACUUCAUGGAGACACGAUGAUGGAGAUCAUGAUGAUGGAGAUCAUGGUGUCAUGCCGGUGACGAAGAUGAUCAUGGAGCCCCGAAGAUGGAGAUCAAAGGAGCUAUAUGAUAUUGGCCAUAUCAUGUCACUGUUUAAUUGCAUGUGAUGUUUAUUAUGUUUAUGCAUCUUGUUUACUUAGAACGACGGUAGUAAAUAAGAUGAUUCCUCAUAAUAAUUUCAAGAAAGUGUUCACCCUAAAUGUGCACCAUUGUGAAAGUUCAUCGUUUCGAAGCACCAAGUGAUGAUCGGGUGUGAUAGAUUCUAACGUUCACAUACAACGGGUGUAAGACAGAUUUACACAUGCAAAACACUUAGGUUAACUUGACGAGCCUAGCAUGUACAAACAUGGCCUCGGAACACAAGAGACCGAAAGGUCGAACAUGAGUCGUAUGGAAGAUACGAUCAACAUGGAGAUGUUCACCGAUGAUGACUAGUCCGUCUCACGUGAUGAUCGGACACGGCCUAGUCGACUCGGAUCAUGUAUCACUUAGAUGACUAGAGGGAUGUCUAAUCUGAGUGGGAGUUCAUUAAAUAAUUUGAUUAGAUGAACUUAAUUAUCAUGAACUUAGUCUAAAAACCUUUGCAAAUAUGUCUUGUAGAUCAAAUGGCCAACGCUCAUGUUCACCUCAACUUCAACGCGUUCCUGGAGAAAACCAAGCUGAAAGAUGAUGGCAGCAACUAUACGGACUGGGUCCGGAACCUGAGGAUCAUCCUCAUAGCUGCCAAGAAAGAUUAUGUCCUAGAAGCACCGCUAGGUGAAGCACCCAUCCUAGAGAACCAAGAUGUUAUGAACGCUUGGCAGUCUCGUGUUGAUGAUUACUCCCUCGUUCAGUGCGGCAUGCUUUACAGCUUAGAACCGGGGCUCCAAAAAUGUUUUGAGCAACACGGAGCAUAUUAGAUGUUCGAAGAGCUGAAAAUGGUUUUCCAAGCUCAUUCCUGGGUCGAGAGAUAUGAAGUCUCCGACAAGUUCUUCAGCUGUAAGAUGGAGGAAAACAGUUCUGUCAGUGAGCACAUACUCAAGAUGUCUAGGUUGCACAACCGCCUGACUCAGCUGGGAGUUAAUAUCCCGGAUGAUGCGGUUAUUGACAGAAUCCUCCAGUCGCUUCCACCGAGCUACAAGAGCUUUGUGAUGAACUUCAAUAUGCAGGGGAUGGAAAAGACCAUUCCUGAGGUAUAUUCAAUGCUAAAAUCAGCGGAGGUAGAGAUCAAGAAAGAACAUCAAGUGUUGAUGGUGAAUAAAACCACUAAGUUCAAGAAAGGCAAGGGUAAGAAGAACUUCAAGAAGGACGGCAAGGGAGUUGCCGCGCCCGGUAAGCCAGUUGCUGGGAAGAAGUCAAAGAAUGGACCCAAGCCUGAGACUGAGUGCUUUUAUUGCAAGGGAAGUGGUCACUGGAAGCGGAACUACCCCAAGUACUUAGCGGACAAGAAGGUCGGCAACACUAAAGGUAUAUGUGAUAUACAUGUAAUUGAUGUGUACCUUACCAGUACUCGUAGUAGCUCCUGGGUAUUUGAUACCGGUGCAGUUGCUCAUAUUUGUAACUCAAAGGAGGAACUGCGGAAUAAACGGAGACUGGCAAAGGACGAGGUGACGAUGCGCGUCGGGAAUGGUUCCAAGGUCGACGUAAUCGCCGUCGGCACGCUACCUCUACAUUUACCUACAGGGGUAGUUUUAAACCUCAAUAAUUGUUAUUUAGUGCCAAGUUUGAUCAUGAACAUUGUAUCUGGAUCUCGUUUAAUACGAGAUGGCAACUCAUUUAAAUCCGAGAAUAAUGGUUGUUCUAUUUAUAUGAGAGAUAUGUUAUAUGGUCAUGCCCCAAUGGUCAAUGGUUUAUUCUUAAUGAAUCUCGAACAUGAUGUUACACAUAUUCAUAGUGUGAAUAAUAAAAUAUGUAAAGUUGAUAACGAUAGGCCCACAUACUUGUGUCACUGCCGCCUUGGUCAUAUUGGUGACAAGCGCAUGAAGAAGCUCCAUGCUGAUGGACUUUUAGAGUCUCUCGAUUAUGAAUCAUUUGACACAUGCGAACCAUGCCUCACGGGCAAAAUGACCAAGACUCCGUUCUCCGAAACAAUGGAGCGAGCAACCAACUUAUUGGAAAUCAUACAUACUGAUGUCUGCGGUCCAAUGAGCGUUGAGUCUCGCGCAGGAUAUCGUUAUGUUCUCACUCUCACUAACGACUUGAGUAGAUAUGGGUAUGUCUACUUGAUGAAACACAAGUCUGAGACCUUUGAAAAGUUCAAGGAGUUUCAGAAUGAGGUAGAGAAUCAACGUGACCGAAAGAUAAAGUUCCUACGAUCAGAUCGUGGAGGAGAAUAUUUAAGUCAUGAAUUUGGUAUGCACUUAAGGAAAUGUGGAAGCGUUUCACAACUCACGCCGCCUGGAACACCUCAGUGUAACGGUGUGUCCGAACGUCGUAAUCGCACUUUAUUGGAUAUGGUGCGAUCUAUGAUGUCUCUUACCGAUGUACCGCUAUCUUUUUGGGGAUACGCUCUAGAGACAGCUACAUUCACUUUAAAUAGGGCACCUUCUAAAUCCGUUGAGACGACACUGUAUGAAUUAUGGUUUGGGAAGAAACCUAAGCUGUCGUUUCUAAAAGUUUGGGGAUGCGAUGCUUAUGUCAAGAAACUUCUACCUAAAAAGCUCGAACCCAAGUAGGAAAAAUGUGUCUUCAUAGGAUACCCUAAGGAAACCAUUGGGUAUACCUUCUACCUCAGAUCCAAAGGCAAGAUCUUUGUUGCCAAGAACGGGUCCUUUCUGGAGAAAGAGUUUCUCUCGAGAGAAGUAAGUGGGAGGAAAGUGGAACUUGAUGAAGUACUACCUCUUGAACCGGUGAGUAGCGCAGCUCAGGGAGAUGUUCCUGUGGUGCCAGCACCAACUGAAGAGGAAGUUAAUGAUGAUGAUCAAGGUACUUCGCAUCAAGUUACUACUGAACUUCGUAGGUCCACGGGGACAUGUUCCACACCAGAGUGGUAUGGCAAUCCUGUCCUAGAAACCAUGUUGUUAGACAACGGUGAACCUUCGAACUAUGAAGAAGCGAUGGCGGGCCCAGAUUCCAACAAAUGGCUUGAAGCCAUGCAAUCCGAGAUAGGAUCCAUGUAUGAAAAUGAAGUAUGGACUUUGAUAGACUUGCCCGAUGAUCGGCGAGCGAUGGAAAACAAAUGGAUCUUUAAGAAGAAGACGGACGCGGAUGGUAAUGUUACCAUCUAUAAAGCUCGACUUGUCGCUAAGGGUUAUCGACAAUUUCAAGGGGUUGACUACGAUGAGACAUUCUCUCCCGUAGCGAAGCUAAAGUCCGUCUGAAUCAUGUUAGCAAUUGCCGCAUACUAUGAUUAUGAGAUAUGGCAAAUGGACGUCAAAACGGCAUUCCUUAACGGUCAUCUUAAGGAAGAAUUGUAUAUGAUGCAGCCGGAAGGAUUUGUCGACCCUGAGAAUGCUAACAAGGUAUGCAAGCUCCAGCGAUCCAUUUAUGGGCUGGUGCAAGCAUCUCGGAGUUGGAACAUUCACUUUGAUGAGAUGAUCAAGGCGUUUGGGUUUAUGGAGACUUAUGGAGAAGCCUGCAUUUACAAGAAAGUGAGUGGGAGCGCUGUAGCAUUUCUCAUAUUAUAUGUAGAUGACAUACUUUUGAUGGGAAAUGAUAUAGAACUCUUGGACAGCAUUAAGGCCUACUUGAAUAAGUGUUUUUCAAUGAAGGACCUUGGAGAAGCUGCUUACAUACUAGGCAUCAAGAUCUAUAGGGAUAGAUCGAGACGCCUCAUAGGUCUUUCACAAAGAACAUACCUUGAUGAGAUAUUGAAGAAGUUCAAUAUGGAUCAGUCCAAGAAAGGGUUCUUGCCUGUAUUGCAAGGUGUGAGAUUGAGCUUGGCUCAAUUCCCGACCACGGCAGAAGAUAAAGAAGAGAUGAGUGUCAUCCCCUAUGCCUCAGCCAUAGGGUCUAUUAUGUAUGCCAUGCUGUGUACCAGACCUGAUGUAAACCUUGCCGUAAGUUUGGUAGGAAGGUACCAAAGUAAUCCCGGCAAGGAACACUGGACAGCGGUCAAGAACAUCCUAAAGUACCUGAAAAGGACUAAGGAUAUGUUUCUCGUUUAUGGAGGUGACAAAGAGCUCAUCGUAAAGGGUUACGUCGAUGCUAACUUCGACACAGAUCUGGAUGACUCUAAGUCACAAACCGGAUACGUGUAUAUUUUGAAUGGUGGGGCAGUAAGCUGGUGCAGUUGCAAGCAAAGCAUCGUGGCGGGAUCUACAUGUGAAGCAGAGUACAUGGCACCCUCGGAGGCAGUGCAUGAAGCAAUCUAGGUGAAGGAGUUCAUCAUCGACCUAGGAGUCAUACCCAAUGCGUCGGGGCCGAUCAAACUCUUCUGUGACAACACUGGAGCUAUUGCGCUUGCCAAGGAGCCCAGGUUUCACAAGAAGACCAGGCACAUCAAGCGUCGCUUCAACUCCAUACGUCAAAAUGUUCAAGAUGGAGACAUAGAUAUUUGUAAAGUACAUACAGACCUGAAUGUGGCAGAUCCGUUGACUAAACCUCUCCCUAGGGCAAAACAUGAUCAACACCAGAAUUCCAUGGUUGUUCGAUUGAUCACAAUGUAACUAGAUUAUUGAACUCUAGUGCAAGUGGGAGACUGUUGGAAAUAUGCCCUAGAGGCAAUAAUAAAAUGGUUAUUAUUAUAUUUCUUUGUUCAUGAUAAUUAUCUGUUAUUCAUGCUAUAAUUGUAUUAUUCGGAAAUCGUAAUACACGUGUGAAUACAUAGACCACGACAUGUCCCUAGUGAGCCUCUAGUUGACUAGCUCGUUGAUCAACUGAUAGUCAUGGUUUCCUGACUAUGGACAUUGGAUGUCAUUGAUAACGGGAUGACAUCAUUAGGAGAAUGAUGUGAUAGACAAGACCCAAUCCUAAGCAUAGCUCAAAGAUCGUGUAGUUCGUUUAGCUAGAGCUUUUCCAAAUGUCAAGUAUCAUUUGCUUAGACCAUGAGAUUGUGCAACUCCCGGAUACCGUAGGAGUGCUUUGGGUGUGCCAAACGUCACAACGUAACUGGGUGACUAUAAAGGUGCACUACGGGUAUCUCCGAAAGUGUCUGUUGGGUUGGCACGAAUCGAGACUGGGAUUUGUCACUCCGCAUGACGGAGAGGUAUCUCUGGGCCCACUCGGUAACACAUCAUCAUAAUGAGCUCAAUGUGACCAAGUGUCUAGUCACGGGAUCAUGCAUUACGGUACGAGUAAAGUGACUUGCCGGUAACGAGAUUAAACGAGGUAUUGGGAUACCGAUGAUCGAGUCUCGGGCAAGUAACGUACCAAUUGACAAAGGGAAUUGUAUACAGGGUUGAUUGAAUCCUCGACAUCGUGGUUCAUCCGAUGAGAUCAUCGAGGAGCAUGUGGGAGCCAACAUGGGUAUCCAGAUCCCGCUGUUGGUUAUUAACCGGAGAGGCGUCUCGGUCAUGUCUGCAUGUCUCCCGAACCCGUAGGGUCUACACACUUAAGGUUCAGUGAUGCUAGGGUUGUAGAGAUAUGAGUAUGCAGUAAACCGAAUGUUGUUCGGAGUCCCGGAUGAGAUCCCGGGCGUCACGAGAAGUUCCGGAAUGGUCCGGAGGUAAAGAAUUAUAUAUAGGAAGUCAGGUUUCUGCCAUCGGGAAAAUUUCGGGGGUCACCUGUAUUGUACCGGGACCACCGGAAGGGUCCCGGGGGUCCACCGGGUGGGGCCACCUAUCCCGAAGGGCCCCAUGGGCUCAAGUGGGAGGGGAACCAGCCCCUGGUGGGCUGGUGCGCCCCCCCCCCCCUUGCCCGCGCCUAGGGUUGGAAACCCUAGGGGUGGGGGGCGCCUCCACUUGCCUUGGGGGGCAAGGCACCCCCCUUGGCCGCCGCCCCCCCUAGGAGAUCCCAUCUCCUAGGGCCGGCACCCCCCCUAGGGGCCCUAUAUAAAGAGGGGGGAGGGAGGGCAGCUGCACCCUUGUACUUGGCGCCUCCCUUCCCCCUUCCUACACCUCUCCCUCUCGCAGACACUUGGCGAAGCCCUGCCGAGAUCAUUGCUGCAUCCACCACCACGCCGUCGUGCUGCUGGAUCUUCAUCAACCUCUCCUUUCCCCUUGCUGGAUCAAGAAGGAGGAGACGUCUCGCUGACCGUACGUCUGUUGAACGCGGUGGUGCCAUCCGUUCAGCGCUAGGAUCUCUGGUGAUUUGGAUCACGACGAGUACAACUCCCUCAACCCCGUUCUCUUGAAUGCUUCCGCUCGAUCUACAAGGGUACGUAGAUGCACUCCUCUCUCUCGUUGCUAGAUGAACUCAUAGAUUGAUCUUGGUGAAACCGUAGGAAUUUUUUUAUUUUCUGCAACAUUCCCCAACAUAAUUUCCAAUAAGUUGGUUGCUCGCUCCAUUGUUCCGGAGAACGGAGUCUUGGUCAUUUUGCCCAUGAGGCAUGGUUCGCACGUGUCAAAUGAUUCGAAAUCAAGAGACUCCAAAAGUCCAUCUGUAUGGAUCUUCUUCAUGCGUUUGAUGCCAAUGUGACCAAGGCGGUAGUGCCACAGAUAUGUGGGACUAUCAUUAUCAAUCUUACAUCUUUUGGUAUUCACACUAUGAAUAUGUGUAACAUCACGUUUGAGAUUCAUUAAGAAUAAACCGUUGACCAGCGGGGCAUGACCAUAAAACAUAUCUCUCAUAUAAAUAGAACAACCAUUAUUCUCGGAUUUAAAUGUGUAGCCAUCUCAUAUCAAAUGAGAUCCAGAUACAAUGUUCAUGCUCAAAGCUGGCACUAAAUAACAAUUAUUGAGGUUUAAAACUAAUCCGUAGGUAAAUGUAGAGGUAGCGUGCCGACAUCGAUCACAUCGACCUUGGAACCAUUCCCGACGCGCAUCGUCACCUCGUCCUUCACCAGUAUCCAUUUAUUCCGCAAAUCCUGUUUUGAGUUACAAAUAUGAGCAACUGCACCGGUAUCAAAUACCCAGGAGCUACUACGAGUACUAGUAAGGUACACAUCAAUUACAUGUAUAUCACAUAUACCUUUGGUGUUGCCGGCCUUCUUGUCCGCUAAGUACUUGGGGCAGUUCCGCUUCCAGUGUCCACUUACCUUGCAAUAAAAGCACUCAGUCUCAGGUUUGGGUCCAUGCUUUGGCUUCUUCCCGCCAACUGGCUUACCGGGCGCGGCAACUCCCUUGUCGUCCUUCUUGAAGUUCUUCUUACCCUUGCGUUUCUUGAAACUAGUGGUUUUAUUGACCAUCAACACUUGAUGUUCCUUUUUGAUUUCUACCUCCGCUGAUUUCAGCAUUGGAAAUACCUCAGGAAUAGUUUUCACCAUCCCCUGCAUAUUGUAGUUCAUCACAAAGCUCUUGUAGCUUGGUGGGAGCGUCUGAAGGAUUCUGUCAACGACCGCAUCAUCCGGGAGGUUAACUCCCAGCCGAGACAAGCGGUUGUGCAACCCAGACAUUUUGAGUAUGUGCUCGCUGACAGAACUAUUCUCCUCCAUCUUACAACUGUAGAACUUGUCGGAGACUUCAUAUCUCUCGACCCGGGCAUGAGCUUGGAAAACCAUUUUCAGCUCUUGGAAGAUCUCAUAUGCUCCGUGUUGCUCAAAACGCUUUUGGAGCCCCGGUUCUAAGCUGUAAAGCAUGCCGCACUGAACCAGGGAGUAAUCAUCACUACGCAACUGUCAGACGUUCAUAACGUCUUGAGUUGCUGGGAAAACGGAUGCUUCAACUAGCGGUGCAUCUAGGACAUAUGCUCUUUUUGCAGCUAUGAGGAUGAUCCUCAACUUCCGGACCCAGUCCGUAUAGUUGCUGCCAUCGUCUUUCAGCUUGGUUUUCUCUAGGAACACGUUGAAGUUGAGGGCAAUAUUAGCGUGGGCCAUUUGAUCUACAAGACAUAUUGCAAAAGGUUUAGACUAAGUUCAUGAUAAUUAAGUUCAUCUAAUCAAAUUAUUUAAUGAACUCCCACUCAGAUAGACAUCCCUCUAGUCAUCUAAGUGAUCCAUGAUCCGAGUCAACUAGGCCGUGUCCGAUCAUCACGUGAGACGGAUUAGUCAUCAUCGGUGAGCAUCUUCAUGUUGAUCGUAUCUUCUAUACGACUCAUGUUCGACCUUUCGGUCUCUUGUGUUCCGAGGCCAUGUCUAUAAAUGCUAGGCUCGUCAAGUCAACCUAAGUGUUUUUGCAUGUGUAAAUCUGUCUUACGCCCGUUGUAUGUGAAUGUUAGAAUCUAUCACACCCGAUCAUCACGUGGUGCUUCGAAACAACGAAAUUUCGCAAUGGCGCACAGUUAGGGGGAACACUUUCUUGAAAUUAUUAUGAGGGAUCAUCUUAUUUACUACCGUCGCUCUAAGCAAAUAAGAUGCAGAAACAUGAUAAACAUCACAUGCAAUCAAAUAGUGACAUGAUAUGGCCAAUAUCAUUUUGCUCCUUUUGAUCUCCAUCUUCGGGGCGCCAUGAUCAUCAUCGUCACCGGCAUGACACCAUGAUCUCCAUCAUCAUGAUCUCCAUCAUCGUGUCUUCAUGAAGUUGUCACGCCAAUGAUUACUUCUACUACUAUGGCUAACGGUUUAGCAAUAAAGUAAAGUAAUUACAUGGCAUUAUUCAAUGACACGCAAGUCAUACAAUAAUUAAGACAACUCCUAUGGCUCCUGCCGGUUGUCAUACUCAUCGACAUGCAAGUCGUGAUUCCUAUUACAAGAACAUGAUCAAUCUCAUACAUCCCAUAUAUAUCAUUCAUCACAUCCUUUUUGGCCAUAUCACAUCACAAGGCAUAUGCUGCAAAAACAAGUUAGACGUCCUCUAAUUGUUGUUGCGUGUUUUUACGUAGCUGCAAUAGGGUUCUAGCAAGAACGUUUCUUACCUACGUCAAAACCACAACGUGAUAUGCCAAUUUCUAUUUACCCUUCAUAAGGACCCUUUUCAUCGAAUCCGAUCCGACUAAGGUGGGAGAGACAGACACCCGCUAGCCACCUUAUGCAACUGCGUGUCAGUCAGUGGAACCUGUCUCACGUAAGCGUACGUAUAAGGUCGGUCCGGGCCGCUUCAUCCCACGAUACCACCAAAACAAGAUAAGACUAGUAGUGGCAAGUAAUUUGACAAAAUCUACGCCCACAACAAAACUGUGUUCUACUCGUGCAUAGAAACUACGCAUAGACCUAGCUCUGAUACCGCUGUUGGGGAUCGUUGCAGAAAAUAAAUAAAAAUUAUGCAUCACCAAGAUCAAUCUAUGGAGUCAUCUAGCAACGAGAGAGAGAUGCAUCUACAUACUCUUGUAGAUCGCGAGCGGAAGCGUUCAAGAGAACGGGGUUGAAGGAGUCGUACUCAUCGUGAUCCAAAUAACCGAUGAUCCUAGCGCCAAACGACGGCACCUCCACGUUCAACACACGUAAGGAGUGGAGACGUCUCCCAUGCCUUGAUCUAGCAAGGAGGAGGGAGAGGUUCAGGAAGAGAUCUCCAGCAGUAGCACGACCGCGUGGUGGUGAUGGAGAGGCAGUACUCCGGCAGGGCUUCGCCAAGCUUCUUCGGAGGAGGAGAGGUGUUGGGGAGGGGAGGGGUUGCGCUUUGGAGGUGUGUGUGCAGCCCUCCCCUCGCCCCUCUAUUUCUAGGGGGGAGGAAGGGGGCCGGCCCCCUCUAGAUGAGAUCUAGAGGGGGGCGGCCAAGGGGGGACUUGCCCCCAAGCAAGGGGGGCGCCCCCUUGAGGGUUUCCCCCCAACCCUAGACGCAUGGGCCCAAGGGGGGUUGCACCCAGCCCUCUAAGGGCUGGUUCCCUUCCCUCUAUGGCCCAUGAGGCCCUCCAGGAGAGGUGGCCCCUCCCGGUGGUCCCUCGGAACCCUUCCGGUGGCCCCGGUACAAUACCAGCAUGCCCCCGAACCUUUCCGAUGACCAUAUUACAACUUCCCAUAUAUAAAUCUUCACCUCCGGACCAGUCCGGAACUCCUUGUGACUUCCGGGAUCUCAUCCGGGACUCCGAACAACAUUCGGUUAUCACAUACAAGUCUUCCUAAUAACCCUAGCAUCACUGAACCUUAAGUGUGUAGACCCUACGGGUUCGGGAAUCACGCAGACAUGACCGAGACAACUCUCCGGCAAAUAACCAACAGCGGGAUCUGGAUACUCAUGUUGGCUCCCACAUGUUCCACGAUGAUCUCAUCGGAUGAACCACGAUGUCGAGGAUUCAAGCAAUCCCGUAUACAAUUCCCUUUGUCACAAGGUACGUUACUUGGCCGAGAUUCGAUCGUCGGUAUCCCAAUACCUCGUUCAAUCUCGUUUCCGGAAAGUCACGUUACUCGUUCCGUAAUGCAUGAUCCCGUGACCAACCACUUGGUCACAUUGAGCUCAUUAUGAUGAUGCAUUACCGAGUGGGCCCAGAGAUACCUCUCCGUCAUACGGAGUGACAAAUCCCAGUCUCGAUCCCUGUCAACCCAACAGACACUUUCGGAGAUACCUGUAGUAUACCUUUAUAGCCACCCAGUUACGUUGUGACGUUUGGCGCACCCAAAGCACUCCUACGGUAUCCGGGAGUUACACGAUCUCAUGGUCGAAGGAAAUGAUACUUGACAUUAGAAAAGCUCUAGCAAACGAACUACAUGAUCUUGUGCUAUGCUUAGGAUUGGGUCUUGUCCAUCACAUCAUUAUCCUAAUGAUGUGAUCCCGUUAUCAAUGACAUCCAAUGUCUAUAGUCAGGAAACCAUGACUAUCUGUUGAUCAAUGAGCUAGUCAACUAGAGGCUCACUAGGGACAUGUUGUGGUCUAUGUAUUCACACAUGUAUUAUGAUUUCCGGAUAACACAAUUAUAGCAUGAACAAUAGACAAUUAUCAUGAACAAGGAAAUAUAAUAAUAACCAUUUUAUUAUUGCCUCUAGGGCAUAUUUCCAACAGUCUCCCAUUUGCACUAGAGUGAAUAAUCUAGUUACAUUGUGAUGAAUCGAACACCCAUAGAGUUCUAGUGUUGAUCAUGUUUUGCUCGCGGAAGAGGUUUAGUCAAAGGAUCUGCGACAUUCAGAUCCGUAUGCACUUUGCAAAUAUCUAUGUCUCCAUCUUGAACAUUUUCACGAAUGGAGUUGAAGCGAUGCUUGAUAUGCCUGGUCUUCUUGUGAAACCUGGGCUCCUUGGCGAGGGCAAUGGCUCCAGUGUUGUCACAGAAGAGAGUCAUCGGCCCCGACGCAUUGGGAAUAACUCCUAGGUCGGUAAUGAACUCCUUCAUCCAGAUUGCUUCAUGUGCUACCUCCGAGGCUGCCAUGUAUUCCAUUCAAAAUAUACACGUAUCCGGUUUGUGACUUAGAGUCAUCCAGAUCUGUGUCGAAGCUAGCGUCGACGUAACCCUUUACGACGAGCUCUUCGUCACCUCCAUAAACGAGAAACAUAUCCUUAGUCCUUUUCAGGUACUUCAGGAUAUUCUUGACCGCUAUCCAGUGUUCCAUGCCGGGAUUACUUUGGUACCUUCCUACCAAACUUACGGCAAGGUUUACAUCUGGUCUGGUACACAGCAUGGCAUACAUAAUAGACCCUAUAGCCGAGGCAUAGGGGAUGACACUCAUCUUUUCUCUAUCUUCUGUCGUGGUCGGGCAUUGAGCCGAGCUCAAUUUCACACCUUGCAACACAGGUAAGAACCGCUUCUUGGACUGAUCCAUAUUGAACUUCUUCAAUAUUUUAUCAAGGUAUGUGCUUUGUGAAAGACCUAUGAGGUGUCUCGAUCUAUCUCUAUAGAUCUUCAUGCCUAAUAUAUAAGCAGCUUCUUCAAGGUCCUUCAUUGAAAAACACUUAUUCAAGUAGGCCUUAAUGUUGUCCAAAAGUUCUAUAUCAUUUCCCAUCAAAAGUAUGUCACCUACAUAUAAUAUGAGAAAUGCUACAGAGCUCCCACUCACUUUCUUGGAAACGCAGGCUUCUCCUUAAGUCUGCAUAAACCCAAACGCUUUGAUCAUUUCAUCAAAGCGAAUGUUCCAACUCUGAGAUGCUUGCAGUAGCCCAUAGAUGGAGCGCUGGAGCUUGCAUACCUUGUUAGCAUUCUUAGGAUCGACAAAACCUUCCGGCUACAUCAUAUACAAUUCUUCCUUAAGGAAGUCGUUAAGGAAUGCCGUUUUGACGUCCAUUUGCCAUAUCUCAUAAUCGUAGAAUGCGGCAAUUGCUAACAUGAUUCGGACGGACUUUAGCUUCGCUACGGGUGAGAAGGUCUCAUUGUAGUCAACCCCUUGAACUUGUCGAUAACCCAUAGCGACAAGUCGAGAUUUAUAGAUGGUAACAUUACCAUCCGUGUCCGUCUUCUUCUUAAAGAUCCAUUUGUUUUCUAUCGCUUGCAGAUCAUCGGGAAAGUCUGUCAAAGUCCAUACUUUGUUUUCAUACAUGGAUCCUAUCUCGGAUUGCAUGGCUUCUAGCCAUUUGUUGGAAUCUGGGCCCGCCAUCACUUCUUCAUAGUUCGAAGGUUCACCGUUGUCUAACAAUAUGAUUUUCAGGACAGGGUUUCCAUACCAUUCUGGUGUGGAACGUGUCCUUGUGGACCUAUGAAGUUCAGUAGUAACUUGAUCCGAUCCUCUCUAGUCGGUGCAGGCACCACAGGAACAUCUUCCUGAGCUGCGUUACUUUCCGGUUUAAGAGGCGGUACUUCAUCGAGUUCUACUUUCCUCCCACUUAUUUCUUUCGAGAGAAACUCUUUCUCCAGAAAGGACCCGUUCUUGGCAACAAAGAUCUUGCCUUCAGAUCUUAGGUAGAAGGUAUACCCAAUGGUUUCCUUAGGGUAUCCUAUGAAGACGCAUUUUUCCAACUUGGGUUUGAGCUUUUGAGGUUGAAGUUUCUUGACAUAAGCAUCGCAUCCCCAAACUUUUAGAAACGACAGCUUAGGUUUCUUUCCAAACCAUAAUUCAUACGGUGUCGUCUCAACGGAUUUAGACGGUGCCCUAUUUAAAGUGAAUGUAGCUGUCUCUAAAGCGUAUCCCCAAAAUGAUAGCGGUAAAUCAGUAAGAGACAUCAUAGACCGCACCAUAUCCAAUAUAGUGCGAUUACGACGUUCAGACACACCAUUACGCUGAGGUGUUCCAGGCGGCGUGAGUUGUGAAACAAUUCCACAUUUCCUUAAGUGUGUCCCAAACUCAUGACUUAUAUAUUCUCCCCCACGAUCUGAUUGUAAGAACUUUAUUUUUCUGUCACAUUGAUUUUCUACCUCAUUCUGAAAUUCCUUGAACUUUUCAAAGGUCUCAGACUUGUGUUUCAUUAAAUAGACAUACCCAUAUCUACUUAAGUCAUCAGUGAGGGUGAGAACAUAACGAUAGCCACCGCGAGCCUCAACGCUCAUUGGACCGCACACAUCAGUAUGUAUAAUUUGUUUGAAAUAUGCCCUAGAGGCAAUAAUAAAAUGGUUAUUAUUAUAUUUCUUUGUUCAUGAUAAUUGUCUGUUAUUCAUGCUAUAUUUGUAUUAUUCGGAAAUCGUAAUACACGUGUUAAUACAUAGACCACAACAUGUCCCUAGUGAGCCUCUAGUUGACUAGCUCGUUGAUCAACAGAUAGUCAUGGUUUCCUGACUAUGGACAUUGGAUGUCAUUGAUAACGGGAUCACAUCAUUAGGAGAAUGAUGUGAUGGACAAGACCCAAUCCUAAGCAUAGCUUAAAGAUCGUGUAGUUCGUUUAGCUAGAGCUUUUCCAAAUGUCAAGUAUCAUUUCCUUAGACCAUGAGAUUGUGCAACUCCCGGAUACCAUAGGAGUGCUUUGGGUGUGCCAAACGUCACAACGUAACUGGGUGACUAUAAAGGUGCACCACGGCUAUCUCCGAAAGUGUCUGUUGGGUUGGCACAAAUCGAGCCUGGGAUUUGUCACUCCGCAUGACGGAGAGAUAUCUCUGGGCCCACUUGGUAAUGCAUCAUCAUAAUGAGCUCAAUGUGACCAAGUGUCUGGUCACGGGAUCAUGCAUUACAGUAUGAGGAAAGUGACUUGCCGAUAAUGAGAUUAAACGAGGUAUUGGGAUACCAACGAUCGAGUCUCGGGCAAGUAACGUAACGAUUGACAAAGGGAAUUGUAUACAGGGUUGAUUGAAUCCUCAAUAUCGUGGUUCAUCCGAUGAGAUCAUCGAGGAGCAUGUGGGAGCCAACAUGGGUAUCCAUAUCCCGCUGUUGGUUAUUGACCGGAGAGGCGUCUCGGUCAUGUCUGCAUGUCUCCCGAACCCGUAGGGUCUACACACUUAAGGUUCGGUGACGCUAGGGUUGUAGAGAUAUGAGUAUGCAGUAAACUGAAAGUUGUUCGGAGUCCCGGAUGAGAUCCCGGACGUCAUGAAGAGUUCCGGAAUGGUCCGGAGGUAAAGAAUUAUAUAUAGGAAGUCAGGUUUCGGCCAUCGGGAAAAUUUCGGGGGUCACCAGUAUUGUACCAGGACCACCGGAAGGGUCCCGGGGGUCCACCGGGUGGGGCCACCUAUCCCGGAGGGCCCCAUGGGCUGAAGUGGGAGGGGAACCAGACCCUAGUGGGCUAGUGCGCCCCGCCUUGGGCCCCGCCUGCGCCUAGGGUUGGAAACCCUAGGGGUGGGGGGCGCCUCCACUUGCCUUGGGGGGCAAGGCACCCCCCUUGGCCGCCGCCCCCCCUAUGAGAUCCCAUCUCCUAGUGCCGGCGCCCCCCUAGGGGCCCUAUAUAAAGCGGGGGAGGGAGGGCAGCCGCACCCUUGUACUUGGCGCCUCCCUUCCCCCUUGCUACACCUCUCCCUCUCGCGGACGCUUGGCGAAGCCCUGCCGAGAUCACUGCUGCAUCCACCACCACGCCAUCGUGCUGCUGGAUCUUCAUCAACCUCUCCUUUCCCCUUGCUAGAUCAAGAAGGAGGACACGUCUCACUAACCGUACGUGUGUUGAACGCGGAGGUACCGUCUGUUCGGCGCUAGGAUCUCCGGUGAUUUGGAUCACGACGAGUACAACUCCCUCAACCCCAUUCUCUUGAACGCUUCCGCUCGAUCUACAAGGUUAUGUAGAUGCACUCCUCUCUAUUGUUUCUAGAUGAAAUCAUAGAUUGAUCUUGGUGAAACCGUAGGAAAUUUUUUAUUUUCUGCAACGUUCCCCAACAGUGGCAUCAUGAGCUAGGUCUAUGCGUAGUUCUCUUUGCACGAGUAGAACACAAAUCUGUUGUGGGCGUUGAUGUUGUCAACUUUCUUUCCAUUACUAGUCUUAUUUUGCUUCAGCAGUAUUGUGGGAUGAAGCGGCCCGGACCGACCUUACAUGUACGCUUACGUGAGACAGGUUCCAUCGACUGGCAUGCACUUGUCGCUUUAUUUAAGGAAAUAAAACACUAUGUAAUUGAUUUACUUUAUCACUAAGUGGUAGCGAUAGUCGUAGAAGAAAUGGUUGGCGAGACGAUCACGACGCUACGAUGGAGAUGAAGGUGUCAAGCCGGUGACGAUGGAGAUCAUGACGUUACUUUGGUGAUGGAGAUCAUGAGCACAAGAAGAUGAUGGCCAUUUCAUGUCACAUAUUUUGAUUGCAUGUGAUGUUUAUUUUUUAUGCAUCUUAUUUUGCUUAGUACGGCGGUAGCAUUAUAAGAUGACCCCUUACUAAAUUUCAAGGUAUAAGUGUUCUCCCUCAGUAUGCACCGUUGCGAAAGUUUUUCGUGCUGGGACACCACGUGAUGAUCGGGAGUGAUAGGCUCUACAUUCAAAUACAACAGGUGCAAGCCAGAUUUGCACACGCGGAAUACUCGGGUUAAACUUGACGAGCCUAGCAUAUUCAGAUAUGGCCUUGGAACACUGAAGACCGAAAGGUCGAACGUGAAUCAUAUAGUAGAUAUGAUCAACAUAGUGAUGUUCACCAUUGAAGACUACUCCAUCUCACGUGAUGAUCGAACAUGGUUUAGUUUAUUUGGAUCACGUAUCAUUUAGAGGACUAGAGGGACGUCUAUCUAAGUGGGAGUUCUUAAGUAAUAUGAUUAAUUGAACUUAAUUUAUCAUGAACUUAGUCCUGAUAGUUUUUUUGCAUAUCUAUGUUGUAGAUCAAUGGCAUGUGCUGCCGUUCCUUUGAAUUUUAAUGCGUUCCUAGAGAAAGCUAAGUUGAAAGAUGAUGGCAGCAACUACACGGAAUGGGUUCGUAACUUGAGGAUUAUCCUCAUUGCAGCACAAAAGAAUUAUGUCCUUGAUGCACCUCUCGGUGCAAGGCCUGCUGCAGGAGCAGAAGUUGACGUUGUGAACGCCUGGCAAGCUCGAUCUGAUUACUACUCGUUAGUUCAGUGUGCCAUGAUUUAUGGCUUAGAAUCGGGACUUCUAAGACAUUUUGAACGUCAUGGACCAUAUGAGAUGUUCCAGGAGUUGAAGUUAAUAUUUCAAGCAAAUGCCCGAGUUGAGAGAUAUGAAGUCUCCAACAAGUUCUAUAGCUGCAAGAUGGAGGAGAAAAGUUAUGUUAGUGAGCUCAUACUCAGAAUGUCUGGGUACCAUAAUCACUUGACUCAGCUGGGAGUUAAUCUUCCAGAUGAUGGUGUCAUUGACAUAUUUCUUCAACCACCGCCACCAAGCUACAAAGGCUUCAUGAUGAACUACAGUAUGCAAGGGAUGGAAAAGACUAUUCCGGAGCUCUUCGCGAUGCAAAAGGCCGCUGAGGUAGAAAUCAAGAAGGAGCAUCAAGUGUUGAUGUUUAACAAGACCACUAGUUUAAAAAAAGUGCAAGGGUAAAAAGAAGGGGAACUUCAAAAAGAUUGACAAGCAAGUUGUCACUCCCGGGAAGAAACCUAAAAAUUGUUCCGAGCCUGAAACCGAGUGCUUCUACUGCAAAGGGACUGGUCACUUGAAGUGGAACUGCACCAAGUAUUUGGCGGAUAAGAAGGAUGGCAAGGUGAACAAAGGUAUAUUUGAUAUACAUGUUGUUGAUGUGUACCUUACUAAUUCUCGUAGUAGUGCCUGGGUAUUUGAUACUAGUUCAGUUGCUCAUAUAUGUAGCUUGAAGCCAGGACUAUGGAUUAAACAAAUAUUGGCUAAGGACGAGGUGACGAUGCGCGUCGGAAAUGGUUCCAAGGUUCAUGUGAUCACCGUCGGCACGCUACCUCUACAUCUACCUUUGGGAUUAGUUUUAGACCUGAAUAAUUGUUAUUUGGUGCUAGUGUUGAGCAUGAAAAUUAUAUCUAGAUCUUGUUUAGCGAGACGGUUAUUCAUUUAAAUCAGAGAAUAAUGGUUGUUCUAUCUAUAUGAGUAUCUUUUAUGGUCAUGCACCCUUGAAGAGUGGUCUAUUUCUGUUGAAUCUUGAACGUGAUGAUACACAUAUUCAUAAUAUUGAUGCCAAAAGAUGCAAAGUUGAUAAUGAUAGUGCAACUUAUUUGUGCACUGCCGUCUAGGUCAUAUCGGUUUAAAAUGCAUGAAGAAACUCUCCAUAAAGAUGGGCUUUUGGAAUCACUUGAUUAUGAAUCAUUUGAUACUUGCAAACCGUCCUUUAUGGGCAAGAUGACUAAAACUCCGUUCUCCGGUACAAUGGAAAAAGCUAGUGACUUAUUGGAACUAAUACAUACCGAUGUAUGCGGUCCAAUUAGUGUUGAUGCUCGUGGCGGGUAUUGUUAUUUUCUGACCUUCAUAGAUGUUUUAAGUAGAUAUGGGUAUAUCUACUUCAUGAAAUACAAGUCUGAAACAUUUGAAAAGUUCAAAGAAUUUCAGAGUGAAGUGGAGAAUCAUCGUAACAAGAAAAUAAAUUUUCUACGAUCUGAUCGUGGAGGAGAAUAUUUGAGUUACGAGUUUGGCCUUCAUUUAAAACAAUGUGGAAUAGUUUCACAGCUCACGCCACCUGGAACACCACAACAUAAUGGUGUGUUCGAACGUCGUAACCGCACUUUAUUGGAUAUGGUGCGAUCUAUGAUGUCUCUUACCGAUUUACCACUAUCGCUUUUGGGUUAUGCAUUAUAUAGAGCUACAUUCACUUUAAACAGGGCACCGUCAAAAUCCGUUGAAAUGACACCGUAUGAACUGUUGUUUGGCAACAAACCUAAGUUGUCGUUUCUUAAAGUUUGGGGAUGCGAUGCUUAUGUCAAACGGCUUCAGCCCGAUAAGCUCGAACCCAAGUCAGAGAAAUGUGUCUUCAUAGGAUACCCUAAGGAAACAAUUGGGUACGCCUUCUACCACAAGUCCGAAGGCAAGAUUUUUGUUGCUAAGACGGAACCUUUCUAGAGAAGGAGUUUCUCUCGAAAGAAGUGAGUGGGAGGAAAGUAGAACUUGAUGAGGUAAUUGUACCUGCUCUCAAUUUGGAAAGUAGCUCAUCCAAGAAAACUGUUCCCGUGAUGCCUACACCAACUAGAGAGGAAGUUAAUGAUAAAGAUCAUGAAACUACAGAUCAAGUUGCUACAAAACCUCGUAGGUCUGGCAGAUCACGAUCCGCACCAGAGUGGAAUGGUAAUCCUGUUCUGAAAGUCAUGUUACUUGACCAUGACGAACAUAUGAACUAUAAAGAAGCUAUGAUGAGACCAUAUUCCGAUAAAUGGCUUGAGGCCAUGAAAUCUGAGAUAGGAUCCAUGUAUGAGAAAAAGUGUGGACUUUCGUGGAUCUGCACGAUGAUCGAAGACCCAUAGAGAAUAAAUGGAUCUUCAAGAAGAAGACUGACGCUGAUGGUAAUGUCACUAUCUAUAAAGCAUGACUUGUUGCAAAAGGUUUUUGACAAGUUCAAGGAGUUGACUACGAUGAGACGUUCUCAACCGUAGAGAUGCUUAAGUCUGUUCGAAUCAUGUUAGCAAUUGCCGCAUUUUAUGAUUAUGAAAUCUGACAAAUGGAUGUCAAAACUGCAUUCCUUAAUGGAUUUCUUAAAGAAGAGUUGUACAUGAUGCAACCAGAAGGUAUUGUCGAUCCUAAAGGUGCUAACAAAGUGUGCAAGCUCCAGCGAUCCAUUUAUGGACUGGUGCAAGCAUCUUGGAGUUGGAAUAUACGCUUCAAUGAGGUGAUCAAAGCAUAUGGUUUUAUACAAACUUUUGGAGAAGCCUGUAUUUACAAGAAAGUGAGUGGGAGCUCUAUAGAAUUUCUAAUAUUAUAUGUGGAUGACAUAUUGUUGAUCGGAAAUGAUGUAGAAUUUUUGGAUAGCAUAAUACUCCCUCUGUCUGAAAAUACUUGUCGGAGGAAUGCAUGCAUCUAGACGUAUUUUAGUUCUAGAUACAUCCAUUUUUAUGCAUUUCUCCGACAAGUAUUUUCGGACGGAGGGAGUAGGAUACUUGAACAAGAGUUUUUCAAUGAAAGACCUCGGGGAAGCUGCUUACAUAUUGGGCAUCAAGAUCUAUAGAGAUAGAUCAAGAUGCUUGAUAGGACUUUCACAAAGCACAUACCUUGGUAAAGUUUUGAAAAAGUUCAAAGUGGAUCAGUCAAAGAAAGGAUUCUUGCCUGUGUUACAAGCUGUGAAAUUGAGUUAGACUCAAUGCCCGACCACUGCAGAAGAUAGAGAGAAAAUGAAAGUCAUUCCCUAUGCUUCAGCCAUAGAUUCUACCAAGUAUGCUAUGAUGUAUACCAGACCUGAUGUGUGCCUUGCUAUAAGUUUAGCAGGGAGGUACCAAAGUAAUCUAGGAGUAGAACACUGGACAAUGGUCAAGAACUUCCUAAAGUACCUGAAGAGGACUAGGGAUAUGUUUCUCAUUUGUGGAGGUGACAAAGAGCUUGUCAUAAAUGGUUGCGUCAACGCUAGCUUUGACAUUGAUCCGGAUGACUCUCAGUCACAAUCCGGAUGCGUAUUUUUAUUGAAUGGUGGAGUUGUCGGUUUUUUCAAGCAGAGUGUCGUGGUAGGAUCUAUGUGUGAAGCGGAGUACAUAGAGUCUUCGGAAGCAGCAAAUGAAGGAGUCUGGAUGAAGAAGUUCAUAUCCGAUCUAGGUGUAAUACCUAGUGCAUCGGGUCCAAUGAAAAUCUUUUGUCACAAUACCAGAGCAAUUGCCUUGGCGAAGGAAUCCAGAUAUCACAAAAAGACCAAACACAUCAAGAGACGCUUCAACUCCAUCCGAGAUUUGGUCAAGGAGGAAGACAUAGAGAUUUAUAAUAUACAUACGGAUCUGACUGUUGCAGACCCGUUGACUAAGCCUCUUCCACGAGCAAAACAUGAUCAACACCAAGACUCCAUGAGUGUUAGAUUCAAUAUAAUGUGGAUUAUUGACUCUAGUGCAAGUGGGAGACCGAAGGAAAUAUGCCCUAGAGGCAAUAAUAAAGUUGUAUUUUAUAUUUACUUAUUCCUGAUAAAUGUUUAUUAUUCAUGAUAGAAUUGUAUUAACCAGAAACUUGGUACAUGUGUGGAUACAUAGACAAAACAAUGUGUCCCUAGUAUGCCUCUACUAGACUAGCUCGUUGAUCAAAAGAUGGUUAAGUUUCCUAGCCAUAGACAUGAGUUGUCAUUUGAUAACGGGAUCACAUCAUUAGUAGAAUGAUGUGAUGGACAAGACCCAUCCGUUAGCUUAGCAUAAUGAUUGUUCAGUUUUAUUGCUACAACUUUGUUCGUGUCAAAUAUAUAUUCCUCCGACUAUGAGAUUAUGCAACUCUCGGACACCGGAGGAAUGCCUUGUGUGCUAUCAAACAUCACAACAUAAUUGAGUGAUUAUAAAAAUGCUCUACAGGUAUCUCCAAAGGUGUUUGUUGGGUUGGCAUAGAUCGAGAUUAGGAUUUUUCACUCCGAGUAUCGGAUAGGUAUCUCUGGGCCCUCUCGGUAAUGCACAUCAUAUGAAGCCUUGCAAGCAAUGUGACUAAUGAGUUAGUUACGAGAUGAUGCACUACGGAACGAGCAAAGAAACUUGCAUGUAACGAGAUUGAACUAGGUAUGAAGAUACAGACGAUCGAAUCUUGGGCAAGUAACAUAACAAUGACAAAGGGAAUAACUAUAUUGACAUUGCAAUUCGACCAAUAAAGAUCUUCAUAGAAUAUGUGGGAACCAAUAUGAGCAUCUAGGUUCUGCUACUGCUUAUUGACUGGAGAGGUGUCUCGGUCAUGUCUACAUAGUUCUCGAACCCGUAGGGUCUACACGCUUAACAUUCGCUGACGGUUGGUAUUAUAUGAGUUAUGUGUUUUUGUGACCGAAGGUUGUUGGGGGUCCCGGAUGAGAUCACAGACAUGACGAGGUGACUCGAAAGGGUCGAGAUAUGAAGAUUGAUAUAUUGGAUGGUUACAUUCGGAUACCGGAAUGGUUUCGGGAAGUUUCGGAUAAUUUUCGGANNNNNNNNNNNNNNNNNNNNNNNNNNNNNNNNNNNNNNNNNNNNNNNNNNNNNNNNNNNNNNNNNNNNNNNNNNNNNNNNNNNNNNNNNNNNNNNNNNNNNNNNNNNNNNNNNNNNNNNNNNNNNNNNNNNNNNNNNNNNNNNNNNNNNNNNNNNNNNNNNNNNNNNNNNNNNNNNNNNNNNNNNNNNNNNNNNNNNNNNNNNNNNNNNNNNNNNNNNNNNNNNNNNNNNNNNNNNNNNNNNNNNNNNNNNNNNNNNNNNNNNNCCCUCUCCUUCUCCCUUUCCCUUUCCCCCAUUGCUACCCCAGAAAAAAGGAAAAGGGGGGGGGGCGAAUCCUACUAGUAGUGGAGUCCUGGUAGGACUCCCCCCCUUGGCGCACGCCCCUGGUGGCCGGCCUCCUCCUCCCUCCUUUAUAUACGGGGGCAGGCGGCACCCCAAAGGCACAACAUUAUCUUAGUCGUGUGCGGUGCCCUCCUCCACCGUUUACUCUUCCGAUAGUAUCAUCAUAGUGCUUAGGCAAAGCCCUGCACGGAUCACAUCAACAACACCGUCAUCACGCCAUCGUGCUGACGGAACUCAUCGACUCCAUCGACACUCUGCUCAAUCAAGAGAUCAAGGGAUGUCAUCGAUCUUAACGUGUGUAGAACUCGGAUGUGUCGUACGUUCGGUCCUUGAUCGGUUGAUUCGAGAAGACAUUCGACUACAUCAACUGCGUUAAGUUAACGCUUCCACUUUCUGUCUAUGAGGGUACGUGGACACACUCUCCCCCUCUCAUUUCUAAGCAUGUCCUAGAUAGAUCUUGCGUGAGCGUAGGAAUUUUUUUGAAAUAGCAUGCUACAUUUCCUAACAAUUUGCUCCUUUACCGGAUCUCUAAAGGGACUAAUCAAUGAUGUUUGGCUGACCCUAAAGUGCAUGGAGCAAGUAUGAAUGAACUCAACACUUUCAUGAUCUAAGGAAUUGUGUAAACGUUUAACUUUCUGGUAUUAUCUGUUGGGGAACAUAGCAGAAAUUCAAAAUUUUCCUACGAUUCACCAAGAUCUAUCUAUGGAGAAACUAGCAACGAGGGGAAGGACAGUGCAUCUACAUACCCUUGUAGAUCCCUAAGCGGAAGCGUUCAAGAGAACGGGGUUGAUGGACUCGUACUCGUCGUGAUCCAAAUCACCGAUGAUCCUAGCGCCGAAUGGAUGGCACCUCUGCGUUCAACACACAUACCAUUGGGAGAGACAUCUCCUCCUUCUUGAUCCAGCAAGGGGAUGAGAGGUUGAUGGAGAUCCAGCAGCACGACGGUGUGGUGGUGGAAGUAGCGGGAUCCCGGCAGGGCUUCGCCAAGCGCAAGCGGGGAGGAAGAGGUGUCACGGGAGAGAGGGAGGCGCCAGGGACUCAGGUGCGGCUGACCUCCCUCCCCUCCACUAUAUAUAGGGGCCUAGGGGGCGCCGGCCCCUUGUAGAUCCCAUCUAGGGAGGGUGGCGGCGGCCCUAGGGGUGGCUUGGCCUCCAAGACAGGUGGAGGCGCCGCCACCCCUUAGGGUUUCUAACCCUAGGCGCAUGGGAGGCCUAAGGGGGGUGAACCAGCCCACCAGGGGCUGGUUUCCACGCCCCCUCAGCCUAUGGAUCCCUCGGGAUAGGUGGCCCCACCCGGUGGACCCCCGGGACCCUUCCGGUGGUCCCGGUACAAUACCGAUGACCUCCGAAACUUUCCCGGUGGCCGAAACUGGACUUCCUAUAUAUAAAUCUUUACCUCCAGACCACUCCGGAACUCCUCGUGACGUCCGGGAUCUCAUCCGGGACUUCGAACAACAUUAGGGUUACCGCAUACUAUUAUCUCUACAACCCUAGUCUCACCGAACCUUAAGUGUGUAGACCCUACGGGUUCGGGAACCAUGGAGACAUGACCGAGACGUUCUCCGGUCAAUAACUAACAGCGGGAUCUGGAUACCCAUGUUGGCUCCCACAUGUUCCACGAUGAUCUCAUCGGAUGAACCACGAUGUCAAGGACUCAAUCAAUCCCGUAUACAAUUCCCUUUGUCAAGCGGUAUUGUACUUGCCCGAGAUUCGAUCGUCGGUAUCCCGAUACCUUGUUCAAUCUCGUUACCGGCAAGUCUCUUUACUUGUUCCGUAACACAUCAUCCUGUGAUCAACCCCUUGGUCACAUUGUGCACAUUAUGAUGAUGUCCUACCGAGUGGGCCCAGAGAUACCUCUCCGUCAACCGGAGUAGCAAAUCCCAGUCUCGAUUCGUGCCAACCCAACAGACACUUUCGGAGAUACCUGUAGUGCACCUUUAUAGCCACCCAGUUACAUUGUGACUUUUGGUACACCCAAAGCAUUCCUACGGUAUCCGGGAGUUGCACAAUCUCAUGGUCUAAGGAAAUGAUACUUGACAUUAGAAAAGCUUUAGCAUACGAACUACACGAUCUUUGUGCUAGGCUUAGGAUUGGGUCUUGUCCAUCACAUCAUUCUCCUAAUGAUGUGAUCUCGUUAUCAACGACAUCCAAUGUCCAUGGUCAGGAAACCGUAACCAUCUAUUGAUCAACGAGCUAGUCUCAUAGAGGCUUACUAGGGACAUGGUGUUGUCUAUGUACCCACACAUGUAUCUGAGUUUCCUAUCAAUACAAUUAUAGCAUGGACGAUAAACGAUUAUCAUGAACAAGGAAAUAUGAUAAUAACAACUAAUUUAUUAUUGCCUCUAGGGCAUAUUUCCAAUAGUCUCCCACUUGCACAAGAGUCAAUAAUCUAGUUCACAUCACCAUGUGAUUAACAUUGAUAGGUCACAUCGCCAUGUGACCAACAUCCAAAGAGUUUACUAGUGUCUAAACUAGUUCACAUCACCAUGUGAUUAAGACUCAAUGUGUUCUGGGGUUUGAUCAUGUUUUGCUUGUGAGAGAGGUUUUAGUCAACGGGUCUGCAACAUUCAGAUCCGUAUGUAUUUCACAAUUCUCUAUGUCAUAUUGUAAAUGAUGCUUCCACGCUCCACUUGGAGCUAUUCCAAAUGGUUGCUCCACUAUACGUAUCCGAUUUGCUACUCAGAGUCAUUCGGAUAGGUGUUAAAGCUUGCAUCGACGUAACCCUUUACGCCGAACUCUUUAUCACCUCCAUAAUCGAGAAACAUGUCCUUAUUUACUCCAAGGACAAUUUUGACCGCUGUCCAAUGAUCCACUCCUGGAUCAUUCUUGUACCCCUUGACUGACUCAUGGCAAGGCACACUUCCGGUGCGGUACACAACAUAGCAUACUAUAGAGCCUACGUCUGAAGCAUAGGGGACGACCUUCGUCCUUUCUCUCUCUUCUGCCGUGGUCGAGCUUUAACUCUUAACUUCAUACCUUACAACUCAGGCAAGAACUCCUUCUUUGACUGAUCCAUCUUGAACACCUUCAAUAUCAUGUCAAGGUAUGUGCUCAUUUGAAAGUACCAUUUAGCAUUUUUUUGAUCUAUCCUCAUAGAUCUUGAUGCUCAAUGUUCAAGCAGCUUAUUCCAGGUUUUCUAUUGAAAAACACCUUUCAAAUAACCCUAUAUGCUUUCCAGAAAUUCUACAUCACUUCUGAUCAACAAUAUGUCAACAACAUAUACUCAUCAGAAAUUCUAUAGUGCUCCCACUCACUUCUUUGGAAAUACAAAUUUCUCAUAAACUUUGUAUAAACCCAAAAUCUUUGAUCAUCUCAUCAAAGUGUACAUUCCAACUACGAGAUGCUUACUCCAGUCCUUAGAAGGACUGCUAGAGAUUUGCAUACUUGUUAGCGUCUUUCAGGAUUGUCAAAACCUUCUGGUUGUAUCACAUACAACCUUUCCUCAAGAAAAAUGUCAAGGAAACAAUGUUUUUGACAUCCUAUAUGCAAGAUUUCAUAAAUAAUGCAGUAACUGCUAAUCCAAUUCCAACAGACUCUUAGCAUCACUACGAGUGAGAAAGCCUCACCGUAGUCAACUCCUUGAACUUGUCGGAAAACAUCUUUACGACAAGUCGAGCUUUCUUAAUGGUGAUACUUACCAUCAUCGUUUGUCUUCCUUUUAAAAUCCAUCUGUACCCAACGGCCUUACGACCAUCAAGUAUUUCUUCCAAAGUCAUGGAUCCUUUCUCGGAUUUUAUGGCCUCGAGCCAUUCGUCGGAAUCCGGGCCCACCAUCGCUUCUCCAUAGUUCGUAGGUUCAUUGUUGUCUAGCAACAUGACCUCCAAGACAGGAUUACGUACUACUCUGAAGCAGUACGCAUCCUCGUCGACCUACGAGGUUUGGUAGUGACUUGAUCCGAAGUUUCAUGAUCACUAUCAUAAGCUUCUACUUCAAUUGGUGUAGGUGCCACAGGAACAACUUCCUAUGCCCUGCUACACACUAGUUGAAGUGAUGGUUCAACAACCUCAUCAAGUCUCCACCAUCCUCCCACUCAAUUCUUUCGAGACAAACUUUUCCUCGAGAAAGGACCCAUUUCUAGAAACAAUUAUUUUUGCUUCCGGAUCUGAGAUAGGAGGUAUACCCAGCUGUUUUGGGUGUCCUAUGAAGAUGCAUUUUUAUCCGCUUUGGGUUCGAGCUUAUCAACCUGAAAACUUUCACAUAAGCGUCGCAGCCCCAAGCUUUUAAGAAACGACAACUUAGGUUUCUCCAAACCAUAGUUCAAACGGUGUCGUCUCAACGGAAUUACGUGGUGCCCUAUUAAAGUGAGUGCGGUUGUCUCUAAUGCCUAACCCAUGAAUGAUAGUGGUAAUUCGAUAAAAGACAUCAUGGUACGCACCAUAUAUAUCCAAUAGGGUGCAACUAUGAUGUUCGGACACACCAUCACACUAUGGUGUUCCAGGCGGUAUUAAUUGUGAAACAAUUUCCAUAAUGUCUUAAUUUCGCGCCAAAGCUCGUAACUCGGAUACUCAUCUCUAUGAUCAUAUCAUAGACAUUUUAUCCUCUUGUCACGAUGAUCUUCAACUUCACUCUGAAAUUACUUGAACUAUUCAAUAAUUUAGGCUUGUGUUUCAUCAAGUAAAUAUACUUAGUAUCUACUCAAAUCAUCCGUGAAGUAAGAACAUAACAAUAUACACUGCGUGCCUCAGCACUCAUUGGACUGCACACAUCAAAAUGUAUUACUUCCAACAAGUUGCUUUCUUGUUCCAUUUUACUGAAAACGAGGCUUUCAAUCAUCUUGCCCAUGUGGUAUGAUUUGCAUGUCUCAAGUGAUUCAAAAUCAAGUGAGUCCAAAUGGUCCAUUUGCAUGGAGUUUCUUCAUGCAUAUACACCAAUAGACAUGGUUCGCAUGUCUCAAACUUUUCAAAAACGAGUGAGUCCAAAGAUCCAUCAACAUGGAGCUUCUUCAUGCGUUUUAUACCAAUAUGACUUACAUGGCAGUGCCACAAGUAGGUGGUACUAUCAUUACUAUCUUAUAUCUUUUGGCAUGAACAUGUGUAUCACUACGAUCGAGAUUCAAUAAACCAUUCAUUUUAGGUGCAAGACUAUUGAAGGUAUUAUUCAAAUAAAUAGAGUAACCAUUAUUCUCCUUAAAUGAAUAACCGUAUUGCGAUAGACAUAAUCCAAUCAUGUCUAUGCUCAACGCAAACACCAAAUAACAAUUAUUUAGGUUUUAACACCAAUCUCGAUGGUAGAGGGAGCGUGCGAUGCUUGAUCACAUCAACCUUGGAAACACUUCCAACACAUAUCGUCAGCUCACCUUUAGCUAGUCUCCGUUUAUUCCGUAGCUUUUAUUUCGAGUUACUAACACUUAGCAACCGAACCGGUAUCUAAUACCCUGGUGCUACUAGGAGUACUAGUAAAGUACACAUUACCAUAAUGUAUAUCCAAUAUACUUCCGUCGACCUUGCCUGCCUUCUUAUCUACCAAGUAUCUAGGGUGGUUCUGCUUUAGUGUUCGUUCCUCUCAUUACAGAAGCACUUAGUCUCGGGUUCGGGUUCAACCUUGGGUUUUCACUAGAGCAGCAACUGUUUUGCCGUUUCAUGAAGUAUCCCUUCUUGCCCUUGCCCUUCUUGAAACUAGUGGUUUUACUAACCAUCAACAAUUGACGCUCCUACAUGACUUCUACUUUCGCGGUGUCAAACAUCGCGAAUACUUCAAGGAUCAUCGUGUCUAUCCCUGAUAUGUUAUAGUUCAUCACGAAGCUCUAGCAGCUUGGUGGCAAUGACUUUGGAGAAACAUCACUAUCUCAUCUGGAAGAUCAACGCCCACUCGAUUAAAGUGAUUGUUGUACUCAGACAAUCUGAGCACAAGCUCAAAGAUUGAGCUUUUCCUCCCUUAGUUUGCAGGCUAAGAAAAUCGUCGGAGGUCUUAUACCUCUUGACGUGGGUACGAGCCUGAAAUCCCAAUUUCAGCCCUCGAAACAUCUCAUAUGUUCCGCGACAUUUCGAAAACGUCUUUGGUGCCUCUACUCUAAACCAUUUAACUAAACUAUCACGUAGUUAUCAAAACGUGUAUGUCAGAUGUUCGCAACAUCCACAGACUACGUUUGAGGUCCAGCACACCGAGCGGUGCAUUAAGGACAUAAGCCUUCUACGAAGCAACGAGGACAAUCCUCAGUUCACGGACCCAAUCCGCAUAAUUGCUACUAUCAACUUUCAACUAUAUUUUUCUCUAGGAACAUAUCUAAAAAGAGUAGAACUAAAGCGUGAGCUACGACAUAAUUUGCAAAAACCUUUUGACUAUGUUCAGGAUAAUUAAGUUCAUCUUAUGAACUCCCACUCAGAUAGACAUCCCUCUAGUUAUCUAAGUGAUUACAUGAUCCGAGUCAACUAGGCCGUGUUCGAUCAUCACGUGAGACGGACUAGUCAUCAUCGGUGGACAUCUUCAUGUUGAUCGUAUCCACUAUACGACUCAUACUCGACCUUUCGGUCUCUUGUGUUCCGAGGCCAUGUCUGUACAUGCUAGGCUCGUCAAGUCAACCUAAGUGUUUCGCGUGUGUAAAUCUGGCUUACACCCGUUGUAUGUGAACGUUAGAAUCUAUCACACCCGAUCAUCACGUGGUGCUUCGAAACGACGAACUUUCGCAACGGUGCACAGUUAGGGGGAACACUUUCUUGAAAUUUUAAUGAGGGAUCAUCUUAUUUACUACCGUCGUUCUAAGCAAAUAAGAUGUAUAAACAUGAUAAACAUCACAUGCAAUCAAAUAGUGACAUGAUAUGGCCAAUAUCAUAUUGCUCCUUUUGAUCUCCAUCUUCGGGGCUCCAUGAUCAUCAUCGUCACCGGCAUGACACCAUGAUCUCCAUCAUCAUGAUCUCCAAUAUCGUGUCUUCAUGAAGUUGUCUCGCCAACCAUUACUUCUACUACUAUGGCUAACGGUUUUAGCGAUAAAGUAAAGUAAUUACAUGGCAUUAUUCAAUGACACGCAGGUCAUACAAUAAAUUAAGACAACUCCUAUGGCUCCUGCCGGUUGUCAUACUCAUCGACAUGCAAGUCGUGAUUCCUUUUACAAGAACAUGAUCAAUCUCAUACAUCACAUAUCAUUCAUCACAUUCUUUUUUGGCCAUAGCACAUCACAUAGCAUACCCUGCAAAAACAAGUUAGACGUCCUCUAAUUGUUGUUUGCAUGUUUUACGUGGCUGUUAUGGGUUUCUAGGAAGAACGUUUCUUACCUACGCAAAAACCACAACGUGAUAUGUCAAUUGCUAUUUACCCUUCAUAAGGACCCUUUUCAUCGAAUCCGAUCUGACUAAAGUGGGAGAGACUGGCACCCGCUAGCCACCUUAUGCAAUAAGUGCAUGUCAGUCGGUGGAACCUAUCUCACGUAAGAGUACGUGUAAGGUCGGUCCGGGCCGCUUCAUCCCACAAUACCGUCGAAACAAGAUUGGACUAGUAACAGUAAGCAUAUUGAACAAAAUCAACGCCCACAACUACUUUGUGUUCUACUCAUGCAUAGAAUCUACGCAAUAGACCUAGCUCAUGAUGCCACUGUUGGGGAACGUAGCAGAAAUUCAAAAUUUUCCUACGAGUCACCAAGAUCUAUCUAUUGAGAAACUAGCAACGAGGGGAAGGAGAGUGCAUCUACAUACCCUUGUAGAUCGCUAAACAGAAGCGUUCAAGAGAACGGGGUUGAUGGAGUCGUACUCGUCGUGAUCCAAAUCACCGAUGAACCUAGCGCCGAACGGACACCUCUGCGUUCAACACACAUACGGGUGGGAGAGACAUCUCCUCCUUCUUGAUCCAGCAAGGGGAGGAGAGGUUGAUGGAGAUCCAGCAGCACGACGGCGUGGUGGUGGAAGUAGCGGGAUCCCGGCAGGGCUUCGCCAAGCGCAAGCGGGGAGGAAGAGGUGUCAUGGGAGAGAGGGAGGCGCCAGGGACUCAGGUGCGGCUGACCUCCCUCCCCUCCACUAUAUAUAGGGGCCUAGGGGGGCGCCGGCCCCUUGUAGAUCCCAUCUAGGUAGGGGGGCGGUGGCCCUAGGGGUGGCUUGGCCUCCAAGACAGGUGGAGGCGCCCCCACCCCUUAGGGUUUCUAACCCUAGGCGCAUGGGAGGCCCAAGGGGGGCGCACCAGCCCACCAGGGGCUGGUUCCCACGCCCCCUCAGCCUAUGGAGCCCUCCAGGAUAGGUGGCCCCACCCGGUGGACCCCCGGGACCCUUCCGGUGGUCCUGGUACAAUACCGAUGACCCCCGAAACUUUCCCGGUGGCCGAAACUGGACUUCCUAUAUAUAAAUCUUUACCUCCGGACCACUCCGGAACUCCUCGUGACAUCCGGGAUCUCAUCCGGGACUCCUAACAACAUUCGGGUUACCGCAUACUAUUAUCUCUACAACCCUAGUGUCACCGAACCUUAAGUGUGUAGACCCUACGGGUUUGGGAACCAUGCAGACAUGACCGAGACGUUCUCCGAUCAAUAACCAACAGCGGGAUCUGGAUACCCAUGUUGGCUCCCACAUGUUCCAUGAUGAUCUCAUCGGAUGAACCACGAUGUCAAGGACUCAAUCAAUCCUGUAUACAAUUCCCUUUGUCUAGCGGUAUUGUACUUGCUCGAGAUUUGAUCGUCGGUAUCCCGAUACCUUGUUCAAUCUCGUUACCGGCAAGUCUCUUUACUCGUUCCGUAACACAUUAUCCCGUGAUCAACCCCUUGGUCAUAUUGUGCACAUUAUGAUGAUGUCCUACCGAGUGGGCCCAGAGAUACCUCUCCGUCAACCGGAGUGACAAAUCCCAGUCUCGAUUCGUGCCAACCCAACAAACACUUUCGGAGAUACCCGUAGUGCACCUUUAUAGCCACCCAGUUACAUUGUGACGUUUGGUACACCCAAAGCAUUCCUGCGGUAUCCGGGAGUUGCACAAUCUCAUGGUCUAAGGAAAUGAUACUUGACAUUAGAAAAGCUUUAGCAUACGAACUACACGAUCUUUGUUCUAGGCUUAGGAUUGGGUCUUUUCCAUCACAUCAUUCUCCUAAUGAUGUGAUCCCGUUAUCAACGACAUCCAAUGUCCAUGGUCAGGAAACCGUAACCAUCUAUUGAUCAACGAGCUAGUCUCUUAGAGGCUUACUAGGGACAUGGUGUUGUCUAUGUACCCACACAUGUAUCUGAGUUUCCUAUCAAUACAAUUAUAGCAUGGACGAUAAACGAUUAUCAUGAACAAGGAAAUAUGAUAAUAAUAACUAAUUUAUUAUUGCCUCUAGGGCAUAUUUCCAACAUUAUCAACCAAUAAUAUGUGACAAUAGUAUCUCAUAGCAAUAUCAAUCAAUUUGGGUUUGUUCAACACGAGCGUUCUUCUAAGAUUGUGUCCUCAAAGUUGUCGGCACUAACAUGCUUAUGAUUAAGAAAAUAUAACCAUCAUGCAACACUUGAGCUAGUCUUAGAGGCGAGACUAGAAAUCUAUUACCGUUUAAUAUUCCGCAUGGGCACAUGACUUUCCCUCUGACCUCGUGGUUAUCCCACUCCCGAGAACUAUUGCAGUUAUACCACGGAAUAUAAACAUUAAUUACAAACUUGGAGAUAGAUAAUAACUAUAAUUAUUUCCUCUAGGGCAUAUCUCCUACAAACAUAGGCAUACACAAAAACAUCUCAAGAUAGAAAAAUUGGAUUCAACCAAAUUUAGCGUAAGUUUACAACUCGUGCAUUCUCUCAAAAAUACAUAUAAGUCUGCAUAUAUCCAAAACAUAUAUGAGAAGAUCAAUGUGGAUAUAUCAUACCAAUAAAGGACAUUUAUGGUCACACUGUCCUGAUAGGGUACAAAUCCAUUUAGACCUAGGGGUGAUAAUGAAGUGAUGAUAUCGGGACCUAAAGUUUCAUAUCUCACUAAUGCCAAAUCACUCAUAUAAUUACAAACUACAUCAGGCAUGGCACUAUAUUCGCUAUCUUUGUCCCGAGUGCAAACUCCAACAAAAGGUAUAUGGUUGAUGUAAUGGAUAUCCUCUCAUAUAUCAAGAUCACAAUUUAUCUUGGUUAAUUCUAUUAGAAAUAAAGAUAUGACCAUGAUAUGACAUUAUGAUACUGGCUACUUACUUGAUCCCAACAAUGUCAUAUCAAUGACUAAAUUUGCUAGAAUAGCCUCCUCACAGGAUCUAUCAAAAUAGACUCUAAUGGAUACUUCCACCAAUCAUUAUCUAACAAGUACAUUAUAUGAGGCAUUGCAAAAUGUGCAUGGCUUAGCAGAAUGAUUGACCACAAUCAAAAUCAUAUGGCUAAGAUUCAUCAGAAUCACAUAUUAUUAUGCAACAAGAUAAUAUCACUUGUAUCAUUGAAAUACAUUUAGGUUAUAUGGAGAGUAAUAUCACAAACAAAUUAGUCAUAAAUUAUUAUCCACACAAAUCUUAUCCUAUAUACAUAAGAGAGUCAUCUCCACUAACUUAUUUAUCUCAACAUGUAAACAUGUCAGAUCACCAUACAAUUAUGGAUGAGAUAAAGCCCACCUUAGCAUGCAACCAUGCAUGGGAAAGACCCACAACCACAUGCAUCCUUGCAUGAGAAAAUAUUUCCAUUCUAUUAUUCUACUUAUAUUCAAUAAAAAUUUACAACUAUAUACAUAAUCAAAUAUAAUAAGUGGUAUAAUUUUUAAUUUGAUUCAUGUGUGAUAAUGUAAAAUUUUAUAUUCCACACAAUCAAAUCUCAUUGAAAUGUACUCCAAGCGAUUCCCGUAGCAGCAACACUUGGGGUAUCAUUUAGUAUACCUAAAUAUUGAUGUCCACUAUCUCAAUUCUCUCAACAUGCACACAUGUCUCAUCGCCCCACAUACUAUUUCUCUUAGCACACAUGUAAUUCUUAUUUACAUUCUCUCUCAACAUGCACACAUCCUAACUUAAAUCAUUCUAAUAUAUUUUCGACUAUAUAAUAAUCAAAUAGGACAAUAUAUUAUGUCUAUUUUAAUUUUUAUUUAAAUUUCAUGAAAAGUUUGCAACCAAUCUCAGCAGCAACACGUGGGGUAUCAUCAAGUUAUUAAGAAGUGAUAACAACAUAGCAGAAAUUAAGCCUUAAUUAAUGUGUUUCAUUAAUUUCUAACACUCCUCCUGAUCAAUGUUUGUCUUUGUGAAUACACAUCAUCUUGAUAAGGACUCCGCCUAGUAUGUGUUGGCCUUUAAAAAUGUUCAUCAUCUCCUUUCUAAGAAGGACUCCUGCAAAAAUCCCGUGGGAAAUAUAUGAGGAGAAUAGGAUCCACAAAAAGUUUAUCCUUUGGGGACGGCAUUCUUGGAGGUGCACUCGGCUUCGCGAGACCAGUGGACGGCAUAUUUGGUGGAGCGGUGCUUCAUCCUACACAUUGAUGGCGGCGGAUCUCGACGGCGUGGCGCAGUGCAGAUUCGGAGUUCGAUGUGCGAGGAUGGACUCGCGUAGGAGGACGACGCUGUCUGGCGUCGUGGUGGCGUCGAUGUCAGAGAGACCUGGCACGGUAGAUGCAACAGUAUAGCUCUGAAGAUGGAUUUGUGGCAGGUGGCUCAGGCGGCAUCAUACCCGGCAGACGUCCUAGUUGAGGAGUGCGUCGGACUGAUAGGUGCCCCAUACCCGGCAGACGUCUUGGUUGGGACCUCAGGUCUUAGAUGUUUAGGUUUGGCUGGGAUGUCUGUUUGGUAUUAGGCCCAGGCUAUCAGCGCCCCUUCAUCAACUGGAUAGGAGUAGCGACAUUUGUUGCUUAGACGGUGGUUUUAGUCUUACUAUUGUAUGACUUUAUAAGGUCUUAUGAGAAUAAUUAAUAAAAUGACCUUAUGCAUCACUCAGAUGCAAAGGCCGAGGGUCCUCCUCCUUUUUUUAAAAAACAAAAAGUUUAUCACUGUAAACGGAAGAGACAACAAAAUGAAGCUACGUGUGCUCAUCUACAACGAUUUGAGCUCCCAUGUGUACGGAUGCACUGGAACGUUUUGUCGUCCUGCAGCUUCAAUUGGCCCUGUAGUCAAAUGACUACACAACUUCAUAACCUUUUUAAAUGUAUAUACAAGUAAAAUUCCAUGGAUAACUUCCGAAAUACUACAAGAUUUAGAGAGGAAUUACCGUUGACAUGACAUCACAGGUUUAUAGUUCUGGUACCGCCACUGCUAUUGGCUAAUUGUGCCGACAGUCGGUGAAACGUGCUAAACGAAAUGGGCCGAGAAAGUGUGACGGGACAUCCUCCUCCAUGAUUCCUUUGUCUUCCUCGACGCCUCUCUCUUAAAUUUCUACCUAUUCCAGUGCACGCGUUGCCCUGUGUACGGCGAUGUCUUCCUCCAUGAUUCCGUCGUCUUCCUCGAUGUCCUUCCUUGACCUGGGCUGCAUAACCGUCUGUUCGUUUUUUCUUUUCAGCAUAUUCCACGGAUAUGCUGAGCACAAUCAUCUUUCUCUCCUCCCCUGUGACAUCCACUCAUUCAAUCAUGCUACGCCUGCAGCCACGUCUUCUUCUAGCCUCGUCCCCUUCACAGCUUGAUCUAACUGCAAGCUCUACAGUGUAUUACAAUUGUGUAGCUUAAUACAAUUAACUAAUAUGUAUAGCCUGCAUUUGGAUCAUACUCCCUUCGUCCGGAAAUACUUGUCAUCAAAAUAAAUAAAAGGGGAUGUAUCUAGAUGUAUCUUAGUUCUAGAUACAUCUCUUUUUAUCCAUUUUGAUGACAAGUAUUUUCGGACGGAGGGAGUAUAUGGAUGGAUUAAUACGACUAACUAAUAUGGAUGCUAGCUUGGUUCGUCCCUUGACUGAUUCGUCCCAUAUGGUUUUUGGAGUUAGGGGAAGAAGAUAAACAAUGCUACUGCUCGCAGCAAUGCAUUACGUAGAUUGCUUGGAACAAUGCUACUGUUAGGAGGCUUUGGAAUUUGGAACGAUCAGUGGAGCAGGUGUUCCUUUUUACCUUGCAGUUUACAUGUUAGAGAAUGUCUACUCUUUGAGGCAGAAAUUUACCAUGGAUCGAUGGUGUCUGCACUUGUUGCCGGCCACCAGCCUUCCAUAACUAUAGUACAAGUUUUGCAUGUAGUACUGGGCUCCUCAUGGCUGGACGCAAUCGCGAGCUCACGUGGAAGCAGUGGCCGCCAGGCCGGCUAUGCGACAUUUUCCUUUUUUUUGAACGAUGGCUAUGCGACAUUGACAGGCUAUGCCGUACGACGACAGUGAUGCCGUUUCUAUCAUGCAAGGGGCAACUUCUUCCGUCACGCAAGGGCCAAGUUCUGUGCGGAUCUAUCUGUGUAGCGCGUGAAAGCUGUGUUUACAUCUGAAGUAAUUUGCGUCCGUACCAAUCUGCACUCCAUAGUAUGCAACGGUAGGUUUCUUCUCGCAGUUUUGCUAAUUAAAUUAAAGAUCGUGUUAUCAUUCAAGAAAAAUAUGAAAGAUCUGUUGAUUUGCUUCAGAGGGAGCCAUAUGCCUAUUUUUUCUUGUUGGUGACGUGGUUGUAGUACGGUUGGUGUUAAUUUUGAUAUAAAGACAUAUUCUCUCUGUACCGAAAUACUUGUCGUUGAGGAGAACCAGCACAAGUUCCCCAGCGACAAAUAUUGUGGUACAGAGAAAGUAUAUAACAUCAAAAGUAAAACACAUGGGACUUGUAAAAUGCUACUAAUUUGAACUUGAGACACAAAGUUACGAAGCAUAUGCAUCCUUUUAGCACAUUAUUUCUCCGCCACGACGCAUCUAUCAGUAUACCCGCCUCCUCGGGUGUAACACUCGGCAAAGACGUUGCCAGGGUUUAUUUGGCCUUCGCCAAGUUUUUUUUUUUAUAUUGGCAUUCUUUGACUUUUCCUAUAGUAGUGAGUAAAGUGGCAACGAUAGAUAUAUGAAGAUAGUAACCGUGUAGACCUGAUGUGUACUGGAGACAGAAGAACCUGUAUAAGGUGAUAAGGAACUUUUUUUAAAGAUUAUUAAAAGGCAGCUCUGUAUUCAUAUCAUAGUCAUUGCAUACACUGUCUUGGAUGCAACCCGGAGUAAGGGCAUCUCCAACGCUGAUCCGUAAAUUUACUCCGCAUCCGUUCGCGGACAGGGAGGGACCAGUUUACUGACACAGAUGCUAAAGGCGACCAUCCGAUGCUGCCCGCAUACAUUUCAACAAUUGUUUCAACUAACCGGACGAAAUUCAUGAAACACGAUGCAAACAUGGCGGAUUUUUAUGUACAUUUCAAACAUUUUGGAGAAAAAAAAAAAGAAACCCGACCCUAGGCCUAUCCUAUGACGCCAGCGGUCGCCCACUUUCUUUGUAUUCCGCAACGGCGACCACGUCCUUCAUCUGUUGUCUCCAUUAGCACCGGUGGGGGAUUAAGACCCGUGAAGUGAAUGUGCGCUCUCCGACAAGAAAGAGUAGGACAUGGGAGACGGUCCGGCCCACAAGGGACACAAUGUCCUGCCGCCUCCCAUGCCUUACUCAUCCUCUGAGGAGUCCGCAACCUGCCCGUCGCCAGUGCCGGAGGACAUGAGGUCGGUGAUGGAUGUGACGGUCCGUCACUGUUCACCUACCACAUGCGCCCGCAAAAGUUAGACAUCGGCGCAUACGACACGCAGCUGGCGGUGUUCUUGUCCUCAGUUGCCAGCGCAUAUGCACGUGUUGCCGCCUCCGCGUCUGCCUAUGUCGGUUGUUCAUUGCGAGUAGCGCGUAGAGCAUGCGCGGCCUCAUAGAACGCUCUCUGCUCCGCAACGAAGUUUGGGUUAGCCGUGAACAUGGAGGCCACGGCCUCCUCGCUUGCGCGCUCACCGUAGAUCUGGCCCUCUGUCAGCUACUGUUGCUCGAAGAGGAACAUGGUGUACCUCUGCUCCUCUUGCGCCUACUGGAAUGCUGACAUAGGUGACGACCAAGCUGCUCCUCCUUUGCUAUGGCGGCGUCGUAGUGCGCUUGCACCUGCGCCAUGAUCAGGCCGGCAUGCACCAGCGCAGGGUUUGGCGUUGUGUUGUCGUUCGAGACCAUCUCCAUCGUGGAAUCGUCGUUGGAGACCUAGGGCAGGCUAGCCGGCAUGCCCUGCUCUAUCCGCUUGGUGCGGAGAGACUGCCAGGCGGCUGCAAGAGGGGCCACCUCGUGCUUCAUCUCCGACGAAAGACUAUGCCACAGAGCGUUCCCGCUCGCGAUCAUGGCGGAUGCGGAGCAAAGGAGGAGGAUGUUGAGCGGAAGUGUUAUGGUAUGGAGUUAGCCGGGUGUGGCUGCCUUUAAAUAGCAGAUUUCGCUGAGACCAAGCGUCUGGGCGCGUCAAUGCGCGGCGCCAGAAUUGGUUCCUCGGUCGGUGAGUGUGUUUAGUGGCAGCAUAUGGACGUACGGGCAUUGAAUGGGCGUGGUUGAUAUCUGUCCAUCCCGUACAACAAACGUCGCUCCGGCAUAGAACAGACGCGAACAUAGGGGACGCUGCGCCGACGGCUGUCUCAGCCGGUGCGUCGCUUUAAUAUGUUGGCCCCAGUAAGAGGCCGCGUUCGCUCUGGGCCAGCGUCAUUAUGGAGUGGCCGUUCUAUAACAGCAUGAAUGUGGGCACCGGUGGAGGGUUUUAGGUGGGACAGAGGAGUCAGGAGCGGGUCGUGACAAUGGUCCGGACGCCCCCAAAGUCCCCCCUCCCCACACUUUGUCUUUGAUUUGCGGGAAAAACACGUCUGAAUUGCUUGGGGCAUCAAUAUAGGACCGUGUUCAAUGUCACAACACGUCCGUACCAUGUGGUUUGAAUGUAUAGGGUCCGCAUCGGAGAUGCCCUAAGAGCAUCUCCAACAGAGGCGCUAAAAGUAGUCCGCGCUGAAAAAAUCGCUAAUUUAGCACGCGGAGCAUCUCCAGCAGACGCUGCAAAAGCCAGCACGCUGUAAAAUCCAUCCGGCGCGCUGGGAAUUUCUGCAUCACACGCGGGAUAUUUGUUGCGCGGCGUACAGCGCGCUGGACAAUGACGCGUGAAGACCAGCUGCUCCGCUCCGCUUCGUUCCCUCUGCUCGUUCCGUCGUUUCCUGCAGCUCGCCGCCGCCGGCCGCCGCCACUCCUCUGCGUGCUCGUCAUCUGCUCUUCCCGGCAUGGGGCGGAGCCGCCACUGCCCUUCUGCUCGCCGGCUGGAGCUUGCCGCCUCGAGUUCACCGGCCGGGAGCACGUGCCGGCCGGAGCCGCCGUUGCCCUUCUGCUCGCAGCCUCCCUGCAACUUGCCGCCUUGAGCUCUGUGGCCGAAGGCUAGCGUUGUUGGGGAACGUUGCAGAAAAUAAAAAAUUUCCUACGGUUUCACCAAGAUCCAUCUAUGAGUUCAUCUAAGCAACGAGUGAUAGGAGUGCAUCUACAUACCUUUGUAGAUCGCGAGCGGAAGCGUUCAAGAGAACGGGGAUGAUGGAGUCGUACUCGCCGUGAUCCAAAUCACCGAUGACCAAGUGCCGAACGGACAGCACCUCCGCGUUCAACACACGUACGGAGUGGAUGACGUCUCCUCCUUCUUGAUCCAGCAAGGGGGAAGGAGAGGUUGAGGAAGAAGGCUCCAGCAGCAGCACGACGGCGUGGUGAUGGUGGAGAGGCAGUACUCCGACAGGGCUUCGCCAAGCACUUAACAAAGGAGGAGAGGUGUUGGGGAGGGGAGGGGCUGCACCUUGGAUGUUAUGUGCAGCCCUCCCCUCGCCCCUCUAUUUAUAGGGGAAGGGGGAAGGGGGCCGGCCCCCUCUAGAUGAGAUCUAAAGGGGGGCGGCCAAGGGAGGGGGCUUGCCCUCCAAGCAAGGGGGGCGCCCCCACUGAUUUUUUUUUCAAAAUUGUGAUGAUUUUUAUAGCAAAUUCGGAAUCUAUACGUCCUCACGCACCAAAAUCAAAACUAGCACCCCGUUGGCCUCCAGUUGGCCGAAGAGGGGCUCUUCAGCCUACGGUUGACCGAAUUGGGCUCUUCAGCCUCCCGUUGGCCGAAGAGUGCCCCAACUGGGCUGAAAAGGACUAUUUGGUCUGUCGUAGGCCGAAGAGCACUCUUUGGUCAACCGUAGGCCGAAGAGUCCUUGGGCUCCAACUUUUCACGUUAAUGGGAGGCCGAAGCUGCAUGGGCCUUGGGCCCCAAAGAGUAAUCUUCGGCCUAUGGUUGACCAAAGAGUACUCUUCAGCCUACGGCAGACCAAAGAGUCAUUUUCGUCCCAGUUUGGGUACUCUUCGGCCAACGGGAGGCUGAAGAGCCCACUUCGGUCAAGCGCAGGCCGAAGAGCCCCUCUUCGGCCAACUAGAGGCCGACGGGGUGCUAGUUUUGAUUUUCUUGCAUGAAGACAUAUAGACUUCGAAUUUGCUAUAAAAAUCAUCAUAGUUUUGAAAAAAAAUCCCCCCACUAGGGUCCCCCCCAACCCUAGGCGCAUGGGCCCAAGGGGGGGCGCGCCCAGCCCUCCAGGGGCUGUUUUCCUGCCCCCUACGGCCCAUGAGUCCCUCCGGGAGGGGUGGCCCCUCCCGGUGGACCCCCCGGAACCCCUCCGGUGGCCCCGGUACAAUAUCGAUGUGCCCCCGAAACUUUCCGGUGACCGUAUGACAACUUCCCAUAUAUAAAUCUUUACCUCCGGACCAUUCCGGAACUCCUCGUGACGUCCGAGAUCUCAUCCGGGACUACGAACAACAUUCAGUAAUCACAUACAAGUCUUCCUAAUAACCCUAGCGUCACCGAACCUUAAGUGUGUAGACCCUACGGGUUCGGGAGACAUGCAGACAUGACUGAGACGGCUCUCCGGUCAAUAACCAACAGCGGGAUCUGGAUACCCAUGUUGGCUCCCACAUACUCCUCGAUGAUCUCAUCGGAUGAACCACGAUGUCGAGGAUUCAAACAACCCCGUAUACUAUUCCCUUUCUUAGAUGGUAUGUUACUUGCCCGAGAUUCGAUCGUCGGUAUCCCAAUACCUCGUUCAAUCUCGGUGCCGGCAAGUCACUUUACUCGUACCGUAAUGCAUGAUCCCGUGACCAAACACUUGGUCACUUUGAGCUCAUUAUGAUGAUGCACUACCGAGUGGGCCCAGUGAUACCUCUCCGUAAUACGGACUGACAAAUCCCAGUCUCGAUCCGUGUCAACCCAACAGACACUUUUGAAGAUACCUGUAGUGCACCUUUAUAGUCACCCAGUUACGUUGUGACGUUUGGUACACCCAAAGCACUCCUACGGUAUCCGGGAGUUACACGAUCUCAUGGUCUAAGGAAAAGAUACUUGACACUGGAAAAGCUCUAGCAAAACGAACUACACGAUCUUUUGCUAUGCUUAGGAUUGGGUCUUGUCCAUCACACCAUUCUCCAAAUAAUGUGAUCCCGUUGUCAACGACAUCCAAUGUCCAUAGUCAGGAAACCAUGACUAUCCAUUGACCAACGAGCUAGUCAACUAGAGGCUUUCUAGGGACGUAUUGUGGUCUAUGUAUUCACACAUGUAUUAUGAUUUCCGGAUAAUACAAUUAUAGCAUGAAUAAAAGACAAUUAUCAGGAACAAGGAAAUAUAAUAAUAAUCCUUUUAUUAUUGCCUCUAGGGCAUAUUUCCAACAGUCUCCCACCUGCACUAGAGUCAAUAAUCUAGUUGCAUUGUGAUGAAUCGAACACCCAUAGAGUUCUGGUGUUGAUCAUGUUUUGCUCGCGGAAGAGGUUUAGUCAACGGAUCUGCGACAUUCAGAUCCGUAUGUACUUUGCAAAUAUCUAUGUCUCCAUCUUGAACAUUUUCACGGAUGGAGUUGAAACGACGCUUCAUGUGCCUGGUCUUCUUCUGAAACCUGGGCUCCUUGGCAAGCGCAAUAGCUCCAGUGUUGUCACAGAAGAGUUUGAUCGGCCCCAACGCAUUGGGAAUGACUCCUAGGUCGGUGAUGAACUCCUUCACCCAAAUUGCUUCAUGCGCUGCCUCCGAGGCUGCCAUGUACUCUGCUUCACAUGUAGAUCCCGCCACGACGCUCUGCUUGCAGCUGCACCAGCUUACUGCCCCACCAUUCAACAUAUACACGUAUCCGGUUUGUGACUUAGAGUCAUCCAGAUCUGUGUCGAAGCUAGCGUCGACGUAACCCUUUACGACGAGCUCUUUGUCACCUCCAUAAACGAGAAACAUGUCCUUAGUCCUUUUCAGGUACUUCAGGAUAUUCUUGACCGCUGUCCAGUGUUCCUUGCCGGGAUUACUUUGGUACCUUCCUACCAAACUUACGGCAAGGUUUACAUUAGGUCUGGUACACAGCAUGGCAUACAUAAUAGAUCCUAUGGCUGAGGCAUAGGGGAUGACGCUCAUCUCUUCUUUAUCUUUUGCCGUGGUCGGGCAUUGAGCCGACCUCAAUCUCACACCUUGCAAUACAGGCAAGAACCCUUUCUUGGACUGAUCCAUUUUGAACUUCUUCAAAAUCUUAUCAAGGUAUGUGCUUUGUGAAAGACCUAUGAGGCGUCUCGAUCUAUCCCUAUAGAUUUUGAUGCCUAAUAUGUAAGCAGCUUCUCCAAGGACCUUCAUUGAAAAACACUUAUUCAAGUAGGCCUUAAUGUUGUCCAAGAAUUCUACACCAUUUCCCAUCAAAAGUAUGUCAUCUACAUAUAAUAUGAGAAAUGCUACAGAGCUCCCACUCACUUUCUUGGAAACGCAGGCUUCUCCAUAAGUCUGCAUAAACCCAAACGCUUUGAUCAUCUCAUCAAAGCGAAUGUUCCAACUCCGAGAUGCUUGCACCAGCCCAUAAAUGGAUCGCUGGAGCUUGCAUACUUUGUUAGCAUUCUUAGGAUCGACAAAACCUUCCGGCUGCAUCAUAUACAGCUCUUCCUUAAGAUAACCGUUAAGGAAUGCCGUUUUGACGUCCAUCUGCCAUAUCUCAUAAUCAUAGUAUGUGGCAAUUGCUAACAUGAUUCGGAUGGACUUAAGCUUCGCUACGGGAGAGAAAGUCUCAUCGUAGUCAAUCCCUUGAACUUGUCGAUAACCCUUAGCAACAAGUCGAGCUUUAUAGAUGGUGACAUUUCCAUCCGCGUCCGUCUUCUUCUUAAAGAUCCAUUUGUUUUCUAUCGCUCGCCGAUCAUCGGGCAAGUCAGUCAAAGUCCAUACUUUGUUUUCAUACAUGGCUUCUAGCCAUUUGUUGGAAUCUGGGCCCACCAUCGCUUCUUCAUAGUUCAAAGGUUCACCGUUGUCUAACAACAUGAUUUCCAGGACAGGGUUGCCAUACCACUCUGGUGUGGAACGUGUCCUUGUGGACCUACGAAGUUCAGUAGCAACUUGAUCCGAAGUACCUUGAUCAUCAUCAUUAAUUUCCUCUCCAGUCGGUGAAGGCACCGCAGGAACAUUUUCCUGAGCUGCGCUACUUUCCGGUUCAAGAGGUAGUACUUCAUCGAGUUCUACUUUCCUCCCACUUACUCCUUUUGAGAGAAACUCCUUUUCCAGAAAGGAUCCGUUCUUGGCAACAAAGAUCUUGCCUUCGGAUCUAAGGUAGAAGGUAUACCCAAUGGUUUCCUUAGGGUAUCCUAUGAAGACGCAUUUUUCCGACUUGGGUUCGAGCUUUUCAGGUUGAAGUUUCUUGACAUAAGCAUCGCAUCCCCAAACUUUUAGAAACGACGGCUUAGGUUUCUUCCCAAACCAUAAUUCAUACGGUGUCAUCUCAACAGAUUUAGACGGUGCCCUAUUUAAAGUGAAUGUAGCUGUCUCUAGAGCGUAUCCCCAAAAUAUAGCGGUAAAUCGGUAAGAGACAUCAUAGAUUGCACCAUAUCCAAUAGAGUGCGAUUACGAUGUUCGGACACACCGUUACGCUGAGGUGUUCCAGGCGGCGUGAGUUGUGAAACGAUUCCACAUUUUCUUAAGUGUGUACCAAAUUCGUGACUUAAAUAUUCUCCUCCACGAUCUGAUCGUAAGAAUUUUAUCUUUCGUUCACGUUGAUUCUCUACCUCAUUCUUAAAUUCCUUGAACUUUUCAAAGGUCUCAGACUUGUGUUUCAUCAAGUAGACAUACCCAUAUCUACUCAAGUCAUCUGUGAGAGUGAGAACAUAACGAUAUCCUCCGCGAGCCUCAACGCUCAUUGGACCACACACAUCAGUAUGUAUGAUUUCCAAUAAGUUGGUUGCUCGCUCCAUUGUUCCGGAGAACGGGGUCUUGGUCAUUUUUCCCAUGAGGCAUGGUUCGCAUGUGUCAAAUGAUUCAUAAUCGAGAGACUCUAAAAGUCUAUCAGCAUGGAGCUUCUUCAUGCACUUGACACCAAUGUGACCAAGGCAGCAGUGCCACAAGUAUGUGGGACUACCGUUAUCAACUUUACAUCUUUUGGUAUUCACACUAUGAAUAUGUGUAACAUUACGUUCGAGAUUCAUUAAGAAUAAACCAUUGACCAUCGGGGCAUGACCAUAAAACAUAUCUCUCAUAUAAAUAGAAUAACCAUUAUUCUCGGAUUUAAAUGAGUAGCCAUCUCGCAUCAAACGAGAUCCAGAUACAAUAUUCAUGCUCAAACUUGGCACUAAAUAACAAUUAUUGAGGUUUAAAACUAAUCCCGUGGGUAAAUGUAGAGGUAGCGUGCCGAUGGCGAUCACAUCGACCUUGGAACCAUUCCCGACGCGCAUCGUCACCUCGUCCUUCGCCAGUCUCUGCUUAUUUCGCAGCUCCUGCUGUGAGUUACAAAUAUGAGCAACGGCACCGGUAUCAAAUACCCAGGAGUUACUACGAGUACUGGUAAGGUACACAUCAAUUACAUGUACUACCUCCGUCUAGGUGAAUAAGUCAUUCGUGUAGUUCUAGGUCAUCGAUUUGAGCAAUUAAAUAUAUGUUAUAUGUCAUGAAAAGUAUAUCACUAGAUUUCUACACGGAUGUAGUUUCUAAAUAUAUAUAUUUUGUUACAUAUAAUACAUAUUUAGAUAGUUAAAUCAUCGACCUAGAACUACGCGAAUGACUUAUUCACCGAGACGGAGGUAGUAUAUCAAAUAUACCUUUAGUGUUGCCGGCCUUCUUGUCCGCUAAGUAUUUGGGGCAGUUCCGCUUCCAGUGACCCUUCCCUUUGCAAUAAAAGCACUCAGUCUCAGGCUUGGGUUCAUUCUUUGACUUCUUCCCGGCAACUGGCUUACCGGGCGCGGCAACAUCUUUGCCGUCCUUCUUGAAGUUCUUCUUACCCUUGCCCUUCUUGAACUUAGUGGUCUUAUUGACCAUCAACACUUGAUGUUCUUUCUUGAUUUCAACCUCUGCUGACUUCAGCAUUGAAAAUACUUCAGGAAUGGUCUUCACCAUCCCCUGCAUAUUGUAGUUCAACACAAAGCUCUUGUAGCUUGGUGGGAGCGACUGAAGGAUUCUGUCAAUGACCGCCUCGUCCGGGAGGUUGAUCUUCAGCUGGGACAGGCGGUUAUGCAACCCAGACAUUUUGAGUAUGUGCUCACUGACAGAACUGUUUUCCUCCAUCUUACAACUAUAGAACUUGUCGGAGACUUCAUAUCUCUCGACCCGUGCAUGAGCUUGAAAAAACAUUUUCAGCUCCUCGAACAUCUCAUAUGCUCCGUGUCGCUCAAAACGCUUUUGGAGCCUCGGUUCUAAGCUGUAAAGCAUGCCGCACUGAACGAGGGAGUAAUCAUUAGCACAUGACUGCCAAGCGUUCAUAACGUCUUGGUUUUCUGGGAUGGGUGCUUCACCUAGCGGUGCUUCUAGGACAUAAUCUUUCUUGGCUGCUAUGAGGAUGAUCCUCGGGUUCCAGACCCAGUCCGAAUAGUUGCUGCCAUCAUCUUUCAGCUUGGUUUUCUCUAGGAACGCGUUGAAGUUCAUGUUGACAUGUGCGUUGGCCAUUUGAUCUACAAGACAUAUUUUGCAAAGACUUUAGACUAAGUUCAUGAUAAUUAAGUUCAUCUAAUCAAAUUAUUUAAUGAACUCCCACUCAGAUUGACAUCCCUCUAGUCAUCUAAGUGUUACACGAUCCGAGUCGACUAGGCCGUCUUCGAUCAUCACGUGAGACGGACUAGUCAUCAUCGGUGAACAUCUCCAUGUUGAUCGUAUCUUCCAUACGACUCAUGUUCGACCUUUCGGUCUCUUGUGUUCCGAGGCCAUGUCUGUACAUGCUAGGCUCGUCAAGUUAACCCUAAGUGUUUAUGCAUGUGUAAAACUGUCUUACACCCAUUGUAUGUGAACGUAAGGAUCUAUCACACCCGAUCAUCACGUGGUGCUUCGAAACGACGAACUUUAGCAACGGCGCACAGUUAGGGGGAACACUUUCUUGAAAUUAUUAUAAGGGAUCAUCUUAUUUACAACCGUCGUUCUAAGUAUACAAGAUGCAUAAACAUAAUAAACAUCACAUGCAAUUAUAUAAUAGUGACAUGAUAUGGCCAAUAUCAUAUAGCUCCUUUGAUCUCCAUCUUCGGGGCUCCAUGAUCAUCUUCGUCACCGGCAUGACACCAUGAUCUCCAUCAUCAUGAUCUCCAUCAUCGUGUCUUCAUGAAGUUGUCACGCCAAUGACUACUUCUACUUUUAUGGCUAACGCGUUUAGCAAUAAAGUAAAGUAAUUUACAUGGCGUUCUUCAAUGACACGCAGGUCAUACAAAUAAAAAAGACAACUCCUAUGGCUCCUGCCGGUUGUCAUACUCAUCGACAUGCAAGUCGUGAUUCCUAUUACAAGAACAUGAUCUCAUACAUCACAAUAUAUCAUUCAUCAUUCAUCACAACUUCUGGCCAUAUCACAUCACAUGACAAUUGCUGCAAAAACAAGUUAGACGUCCUCUAAUUGUUGUUGCAUCUUUUACGUGGCUGCAAUUGGGUUCUAGCAAGAACGUUUUCUUACCUACGAAUAACCACAACGUGAUUUUGUCAACUUCUAUUUACCCUUCAUAAGGACCCUUUUCGUCGAAUCCGCUCCAACUAAAGUGGGAGAGACAGACACCCGCUAGCCACCUUAUGCAACUAGUGCAUGUCAAGCGGUGGAACCUGUCUCACGUAAGCGUACGUGUAAGGUCGGUCCGGGCCGCUUCAUCCCACAAUACCGCUGAAGCAAAAUAAGACUAGUAGCGGCAAGCAAGUUGACAAGAUCUACGCCCACAACAAAAUUGUGUUCCACUCGUGCUAUAGAGAACUACGCAUAGACCUAGCUCUGAUGCCACUGUUGGGGAACGUUGCAGAAAAUAAAAAAUUUCCUACGGUUUCACCAAGAUCCAUCUAUGAGUUCAUCUAAGCAAUGAGUGAUAUGAGUGCAUCUACAUACCUUUGUAGAUCGCAAGCGGAAGCGUUCAAGAGAACGGGGAUGACGGAUUCGUACUCGUCGUGAUCCAAAUCACCGAUGACCAAGUGCCGAACGGACAGCACCUCCGCGUUCAACACGCGUACGGAGCGGAUGACGUCUCCUCCUUCUUGAUCCAGCAAGGGGGAAGGAGAGAUUGAGGAAGAAGGCUCCAGCAGCAGCACGACGGCGUGGUGAUGGUGGAGAGGCAGUACUCCAACAGGGCUUCGCCAAGCACUUAACGAAGGAGGAGAGGUGUUGGGGAGGGGAGGGGCUAUGCCUUGGAUGUUAUGUGCAGCCCUCCCCUCGCCCCUCUAUUUAUAGGGGAAGGGGGAAGGGGGCCGGCCCCCUCGAGAUGAGAUCUAGAGGGGGGGGCGGCCAAGGGAGGGGGCUUGCCCCCCAAGCAAGGGGGGCGCCCCCACUAGGGUUCCCCCCCAACCCUAGGCGCAUGGGCCCAAGGGGGGCAGCCCUCCAGGGGCUAUUUCCCUGCCCCCUACGGCCCAUGAGGCCCUCCGAGAGGGGUGGCCCCUCCCGGUGGACCCCCCGGAACCCCUCCGGUGGCCCCGGUACAAUACCGAUAUGCCCCCGAAACUUUCCGGUGACCGUAUGACAACUUCCCAUAUAUAAAUCUUUACCUCCGGACCAUUUUGGAACUCCUCGUGACGUCCGGGAUCUCAUCCGGGACUCCGAACAACAUUCAGUAAUCACAUACAAGUCUUCCUAAUAACCCUAGCGUCACCGAACCUUAAGUGUGUAGACCCUACGGGUUCGGGAGACAUGCAGACAUGACCGAGACAGCUCUUCAGUCAAUAACCAACAGCGGGAUCUGGAUACCCAUGUUGGCUCCCACAUACUCCUCAAUGAUCUCAUCGGAUGAACCACGAUGUCGAGGAUUCAAACAACCCCGUAUACUAUUCCCUUUGUCAGACGGUAUGUUACUUGCCCGAGAUACGAUCGUCGGUAUCCCAAUACCUCAUUCAAUCUCGUUGCCGGCAAGUCACUUUACUCGUAUCGUAAUGCAUGAUCCCGUGACCAGACACCUGGUCACUUUGAGCUCAUUAUGAUGAUGCACUACCGAGUGGGCCCAGUCAUACCUCUCCGUAAUACGGAGUGACAAAUCCCAGUCUCGAUCCGUGUCAACCCAACAGACACUUUCGGAGAUAUCUGUAGUGCACCUUUAUAGUCACCCAGUUACGUUGUGACGUUUGGUACACCCAAAGCACUCCUACGGUAUCCGGGAGUUACACGAUCUCAUGGUUUAAGGAAAAGAUACUUGACACUGGAAAAGCUCUAGCAAAACGAACUACACGAUCUUGUGUUAUGCUUAGGAUUGGGUCUUGUCCAUCAUAUCAUUCUCCUAAUGAUGUGAUCCCGUUGUCAACGACAUCCAAUGUCUAUAGUCAGGAAACCAUGACUAUCCGUUGACCAACGAGCUAGUCAACUAGAGGCUUUCUAGGGGCGUAUUGUGGUCUAUGUAUUCACACGUGUAUUACGAUUUCCGGAUAAUACAAUUAUAGCAUGAAUAAAAGACAAGUAUCAUGAACAAGGAAAUAUAAUAAUAAUCCUUUUAUUAUUGCCUCUAGGGCAUAUUUCCAACAAGCGUUGCAAGCGGAGCUCGCGGUUUCAGAUCGAUUGCAAGCCAGCUGAUAGGGAAGCCAAGCUAGCUAGCUCGUGUUUGUGCAUCAAGCUAGCUCGCGUGUGGUGGCCGGGAUUUCAACGAUCCAACAAUUGGGGACCUAAUUGCGUUUUUGUUUUGAUCAGAUGGAUUUAUCUGUAAAUGUUAGGGACCUGUUUGUUGUAGAUAUAUUUGUGAUGCUUUAUUUUUUUAGUGCGUCUGCUGGACCGUUGCGCGCCGUCCGGUACGCGCUAUAUUUUUGUGCGUCUGCUGGACUGAAUCUGCCAUGGCGCGCUAAAAUUACUAAAAUGACGCUGUAAAAUUAUUUUAGCGCGUUGCUUUUUUGGGCGUCUGUUGAAGAUGCUCUAACAGCAUGCAAGAGAGAGUAAGAACAAAGCUCUGUCCUCGCAGAUUUCUGUGGUCGAAAGCCACAGAACCACAAUCAAAAUAUUUCAAGAAAAUUUAAGUCAGUCUUGGAUUUGUCCUACAAGUGUAAUAAUUGCCCUGUGCGGAUAUGUCAUGUGGAACACAAAUGUGUGCAGUGGUGCCCCCAUGUGUCUCAAACUUUAUCAUCCCGCUCAUGAUGGCAUGCAUGCAUGCAAAGCAGAUUGCCAAGUAAGGUGCCAAAUCUGCACCUAUAAAUAGAGGUGCUACGAGCUCUGGCGAACAACAACUACAACAUAGCUUUACACACAACCAUAAGACAGAAGUGAGAGAGCUUUGCGGCAAACCAUAGAAGCAACCAUGAAGAACACCAAGCUCGUGGCGAUCCUUGUCCUCCAGGCCAUCAUGGUCAUGGG
rnacentral:lncRNA from 1 species